rnacentral:lncRNA from 1 species
GGUGGUCGCGGGUGAAUGUCACGGUGCUCUAUGACACGUUUGCGCCCACGUGGUGCUGCGGGCGUGCUCGCUUACUUGUGCUGGUGCUUUGUGGGUUAGAGGCUGUACCUUGUAGAUCAGGGCCUGCGGUACAGCGCACACGCGCACACACGCGCGCACACACAUGCCGUGCACACCGUCGACACCGACACCACCACCGCCACCCACCAAACCCGCAGGAGUCCAUCAAGUCCUCAGCGGCCUGGUUCAUGGCGCACGUGGCGCACGGCGCCGGCCUGGCGGCCCUGGCGGCGCACCGGGCUGUGGGCUGCGGCGAGCGCGAGCGGCAGCUGCACCUGAUCUACCUGGCCAAUGACGUGCUGUUCAAGGGGUGAGGGCGGGGGAGGCGGGGGAGGGGGAGGGGGCGAGGGGGAGGGGGAGAGGGAGAGGGAGAGGGAGAGGGAGAGGGAGAGGGAGAGGGAGAGGGAGAGGGAGAGGGAGAGGGAGAGGGAGAGGGAGAGGGAGAGGGAGAGGGAGAGGGGGAGGGAGGGGUAGACACCCCUCUGAACAUCACAUGCACACACACACACACGCACACACACAGACACACACACACACACACACACACACACACACACACACACACACACACACACACACACACACACACACACACACAUGCACGCACGCACGCGCGCACGCAGGCUGGCGGUGCGUGGCGGCGCGGCCUACGACGCGGUGUCCUCCGCCUUCCAGCCCGUCAUCGGCGCCAUGCUGGCCGCCGCGUUCAACACGGCGGGGCGGGGCGAGGACACGCGCGCACGGCUGGACAAGAUCCUCAGGUUCUGGGGCGACAAGCACGUGAGUGGGAGGUUCGGUUGUGAGUGGGAGGUUCGGUUGUGCGCCCGGCUUGUGAGUGGGAGGUCCAGUUGUGCGCCUGGCUCGACAACGGGACAGCGAGGGGACUGCGCGAUGAGGGGAAUGUGCGAUGAGGGGAUGUGCGAUAUGGGGGGACUGUACGAUGUUAAACUGUACGAUAUUUAAACUGUGCGAUAUUUAAACUGUGCGAGGGGAAGGAUCAUGCCACGCCUCUGUGAACGCGGCCCGGGGGGCUGUCGUGCGGAUGCUGCGGGGCGGCUCAGCAAUUCCUCUCGCUUGUGCCGGAGUGCGCCCAGGCCGUUUUCCGUUUGGUUGCAUGGCCUCCUGCUGCCGUGGCGCCCGCUCCUUGUCUGCAUUCGGCCAGUACUGCUGUAUGCAACUCACUUUCCCCUCCCUCUUUCCGGCCUCCCCCCCCUCAGGUGUACGACUCUGACACGAUGGGUAUGAUUGAGGACGCGGCGUUUAACACAGACGACCCAGCCACGCUUCUGCCGCCGCUGCCCGCGCCCUUUGUGGUGCCGCAGCAGCAGCAGCAGCAGCAGGCCGAGCCGGCAGCAGGGCGGUGGGGCCCACAAGUACCGCAGCAGCAGCAACAGCAGCAGCAACAGCAACAGCAACCGCAGGUGGCAGCGGCGGGGCCGUGGGGCGCGCCUGCGGCGGUGCAGACGGGAGGCGGCGGCUGGGGUGCGCCGCAGCAACAGCAGCCGGCAGUAGCGGCAGGGGGCUGGGGCCCGGCGGCGGGUCAGCCGCCGCCGUACGGGCACCCGCAAGUGCCCUACGGCGCGCCGCCCGGGGUGAGUGCCGGGCGGUUGGGUUUGGCGGGCUCAGGUGCCGUUGUGGGGGUGCUGCACUGCUGCUGUAUGUACUGCGCUGACUUACCAUUUCGCCAGCGACCGUGUAGCGCUGGCCUAUUCAUUGCGUGAUAGCUGCGUUGAUGUCAUAUGAUACUGAAGCUGUGAAGCACGAGUCGCCGGCGCACAAUUAUGUGCAACAGCUACAAUGUUUUCCUACCUCUCGCAGGCCUCUCCAUGGGGCGCGCCGCCGCCGGGGGCGUAUCCGCCGCCGGCAGCUCACCUGGCGCCGCCGCCGCACCUUGCGCCACAGGGAAUGCCCAUGGGUGGUCCGCCGCCGGGGUACAUGACCCAGCAGCAGCCGGGCAUGCCGCAGGCCGCCGCGCCCACGCCUAUGAGUGAGUGUGGGGACUGGCGGGACGAAGGCGGGAGCGGCGGAGCACCGUGUGUGUGUGUGUGCCUGCAGUCAUGCACGGGGAAGUACAGAAAGAGAAGCGUCGCCGAUCGCUUGCAGCGUGGGAGUGGCCAUAACCACUACUACGCCAAUGCUGUAUACCGGUACACCUCAUUAUGUUUCACACAAAGCACCCGGCGCCUCAUGCUUGUGCUGUUGUGGCCGUUGUCACGCCCCCUCUUCGCGACAGGCCUGCAAGCCAAGGCGGCGGCCAUUGCUGCGGAGCUGGCGGCCGCCGCCGCCGCCGCGGCCGCCGCCGCCGCCACGGUUGGCGUGGUGCCCCUGGGCAACACCAAGCCGGUGGCGCCGCUGCCGGGGCCCGACAUGAGCGGCGUGCCAGUGCCCUCAACCAACUUCCCGCCCGGGCUCAUCCCGCAGGUGCGGUGCGGUUUGGGGAAGGGGUAGGGGCAGCCGUCCAUGUGAGGCGGGGUGAUGCCGUCUUACGGGGGAGGGGAAGAGGGUAGUUUAUUUCAGCCCAAGCUGAACCGAGACCUGGGGGGGGGAGGUGUAGUCUGGUCCGCCAGUCAGAAGUGUCGGGCAUGUGUGAGAAGCGUGGCACGUGUGUAUGCCCCCCUUCCCGCUUCCCCACGACCGACGCUUACACGUGCCUCUACCCCAAAACGCACCCGCACCCAUGCCCAAACCGACACACACACUCUCUCUCUCUCGUGUUUCCUGGACACUCGCACCAGCGGCAGCGCCCAAAUGCUCCGGGCUUGGUUCCCCUUAACACACACACGCUCGUAACCCCCUUGCUGCUCCCACCUCCGACCGCAGCUGGUAAAGGAGAAGAACAAGUGCGAGGUGCCGUACACACCCAUGGACCAAGCCGACAUAGAGCGGGCCGGUGAGUCUGUCUCUUGGUGUGUGUUAAGAGACCACUAUGAAAACAAAGAGUGUAUGUGUUAAGGAGCACAAGGAAAACAAUGUGUGUUUGUGUGCGUGAUGGGGGUGGUCCAGGCAUGACCAGACAAACGGGGUGAUGGCUGGGUGUUUGCAUGCCUGCUGGUUGCGUCGCCAGACCGUACCGGGCGGCGCGGUACGGUCGCGCGAGUAGGACAGUGCGCAUCGCCCUUUUCCUUUAUGUUCCAGUUGCGUAUUGUUUACAAGUUUUAACGCGCGCGCUCGUCCAGGCCUGCCCGCCAUGCCUGAGAAGGACAGUCACCUGUUGGCCCGACUGGACCGCUUCUACGCCGACCUGCGCGAGUACCGGCCCGGGCUCAGCCGGGCAGACCUGGAGGACGACAUCCGGGGUGAGCGCCAGCGGGCGGGCCAGGAAAUGGGUGGGCGGGUGGGGGCGGGUGGGCGGGCGGGUGGGGGCGGGUAGCUGGCUGGGCAGGUAGAUCAUGUGGAGUGGGGGAGAGGGGCGCCGCCCGCGGGGCUGGUGUGUUCGUUGAGCGUGGUCGUGUGGGGCGGGUUGCCGCACUGCCUCGAGUGCCUGGAUUGAUGCGCACUCUACGUGCACACCGUCUUCAUUGCUGCCCCGCUUCCCGCUUCCUGCGGCGGCAACCAACGAACGGUUCUCUCCCGCCCCUCUCCCCUUCUCUUCCUCUCUCUCCCUCGGACGUGCUGCCAGGCGGCAAGCUGCGCUCGCGCUCGGAGGAGCCGGAGGACGGCGAGGGCGGUGGCAGGCGGCGGCGCGAGCGCUACACAGGCCCACUCAACGACGGCUCGUUCGCGGGUGCGUCCAUGUGGUGCGGCAUGUGAUAUGUUUGCAUCGGCUUCCAAUUCUAUACCGUACAUUGCUGUUGCGUGUGUACAGAGACUAAGCGCGCCCUUCCUCCUCUCCGUCCCAACCUGUUUCUGCGCACUCGCCCUCCUUUCCACCCUACCUCACCUCCCUUCGUUCCUUGCCCUCGCAUGCAACCUCCUCCACGCCACUCUGUCUCCCUCACCGUCUCCCAUCCACCUCCCUCGCCACCCCACCCCACGUACAGGCGGGCAAAACGUGUCCAAGUACGCGGGUCUGGGCGCUACCACUGCGGAGGAGCCGUCGCAGCAGGGCGGCGGCGCCAGUCUGGAGGACAUGUACAGCCAGUACCGGCAGGUGCGCAGCGGCUCCUACCACGAUAUGAUAUUCAAAUCCACAGCGGCGGCGGGCGGCGGCAGGCGGUAGGCGUUGUUAGGCUGUGCGGCUGCCGGCAGCAGGAGGUGUGGAGGUGUGGGGUGUAUGUAUUGCGACGGGCGGCGGCAGGUGGUGGCCGGUAGGCGGGCGGCGGCAGGCGGGCGGCGGCAGGCGGGCGGCGGCAGGGUAGGCGGCAGUGUCGCGGCGCCACCUGCCGUAAUUCCCAGAUGGGUGAGGCAGCGGUUGUUCGAAAAGCGGGGCCCGAGGGUAGGCACCAGCAGGGGCUGUGCGUGUGGCACGGUAGCCAGCAGCGGUUCAUGACACGUGGUCUGGCAGGAGCGAAGCCGCAUGGUACCCACGCCCGCGGUGGGCGGUGGGGCGUCACCGCCAACAGCAGGAGCGAGGCUGCUGCCUGAUGGGAUGGGCGCGCGCGCUGCCUGAGGCGAACACGGAUGGAGUGAAGGGGCCAACGAGACGGCAGGCGGCGGUUUUGGGAACUAGCUGGUGUGUUUGUGUGGGAUGUGUUCAUGUGCGUAGCUACUUGGUUGCCUCCUCAAGUCUCGUGAUGAUCUAUCAACAUGUCGGGAUUACGGAUUACCUGCGGCAGCGAGGCACACCACGGACGCGGCUGCCGCCACCACGCACUCCCCUGCGUGGCCAGAGCGCGCGCCUGCUCUGUCUGAGAUCCACCGGCGGAUGGAGAGAGUGUGUGUGGGUAUUUGUUUGUGUGUGGGUGUGUGCGUGCGUGUGUGUCUUUCGUGACGUAGCAGCUCGCAAUUAAGUAUGUGUUAUGCGACGCGCACGUGGUGGGGGUAAGUUUCAGCUAGCUGCCGCCGUGUGUGAGGACCUCGAUGGGUGGUGGUGGUGGUGGCGCCGAGGCACGAGAGAAAUAUUUGGAUGGAGGGCACCUUGCUUGGCGCGCUCCCGGAUAGCUGGGUAAUGAAUGGGCUGGUCGAUAAGUUGUCGCGGAUAAGUUGAUACGGUUUGAGUGUGCUGACGGCGGGCGCUGUCAUGUGCCCGCUGCUGCUGCGCCCGCCGCUUGACCCGCUGCAUACAUGUAUGCCUCAUCAAGCUGACGCCUUCAGUGAUGGAGUGCCUGCUCCGUUAUGAGGGAAAAUAAACCCAACAGACAUGAGCUAUCUAGACAUAGUUGUUGUCUACCGGUCAGGCCCAGCUGCUAGAAAGCAGGGAACACAGCACUGCGAGUCUGUAGCUAGGAAUUUGACCCCCAUCCAAGCAAACUCGAUUGAGGGACCAUUCGCUUGUGUUUCGCGCGUUUACACAUCACUAUGGGCACGCACAAGGGCACUCUUACGACUGCAUGUUAUAUUGGGCUGCGCCCCGGUCAUACGGCAGGCCGGGUGCGUGACGCAACAUAACUAACGUUGCGUCGAAAAGUGUAACAAGUAGGCCUUCGGGGGAAGCCAACACGCACGCACCGUGCACACCGCUUUACGUACAUACUCAGUGCAGUAGUACCCGUAUCAACAUCGAUGGAACCAUUGCUUGUGAAUAUUCACCGCGCCGAAUACGGUUAACCCCUGCACGCUAGCGCGUAAUAAAGCCAAUGUCACGGUCAUACUCUGCAAUCCUGGCCUGCAUGACCUCAUCAAAGGCAGCGACAUCGGAAACGUCGAGGUCGGCGCGCACGGCCAUCACGCGCGCAUUCAGGCUGAUGAACUCGGCGCUGGAGGGGCGCCGCUUGAUUUUCAACAGCCGCGACAGCAUCUCACGGAACUGCUCGGAGGUCACGCUGCUGGCCGCCACAGCGCUGGCGGCGCCGCCGGCCGUGAUGCCGUUCUGCCUUCCAAACAUGAGGUAGGGCCGGGUCCACUCGUCUGACUGCGGGUAGGAGCGAGGUGUGGAAAAUUGCAGGGGCGGAGCACCUCAGGAGCUCGUGCACGCCACGUGCUAGCUGAUGUCUGGGAUUUGUGGGCGCUACAGGUCACAUCGACAGGAGUGCGGGCAUACCGAUAGAUAGCAUGAAAGCGAGUCAUACAGGCUCCAUUCGGCCAUGCACCAGCGCAACCCCGCCCUGGGCCCCUCCUUGAACCUUGGUGAGUACCGUACUGCACAGUACGGGAUGGUGUACAGCAUUGAUGAUACUCACCGGCACGGGUGCAGCAAGGGCCAGGCCCACAUCCGCCACCACCACAGGGCCGGCUAGCAGAAUGCCCUUGCCCUGCAGCAGUCAUGUGGAGGUGGCGCGCGCGGCGAUGGCGCGGCGGCGGGAAGUCAGUGGUAGGUACCAGUAGUUGGCGUGCUGCUGGCUUAGUUGCUUGGGACAAAGUAGCUAGGCAGCCCCUUGCGCUGCUAGUGGUUUCUCCUAGACCGGCAUGCGUGGCUGGGCUCUUGCCGUCUCGCUUCGCACGCCCAUCCACACCCACACCCCUACCCAAACCGACACGCCCCCACCCUGCCCCCACCCCGCCCCACCUUUUCCAAGAAGUCUCGCAGCGCGCCCGCAAUCUUUGUGUUGUAGCGCUGCUGGGGGUCGGCACCCAGCACCACGUACACGUCACACCUGCGGCGGGGCGGCGGCAUAGGCGGCACGCCAGGUGGUUGGGCACGUUGCUCGGCUCGAUUGGUCAUAGGGGCGCUCUGUUAACUUCAAUAACAAAUGAGACACUAGUUCCACUGCUGGUGUUGUAUCAUGCAUGCGCUCAGCAGCCAAUCAAUCGACCUCCCGUUUUUCGCGGUUGUCCAAUCAAGCGAGCUGUUGUCGCUUGCACUGAUGCAUCUACAAGAUCCAAGACCAGUGCGUCUUACCUCUCGUUUCCACCUCUGGCGAAUGUUGCCAGGGGCAUGUGAUAGCCCUGCCGGGCCUUUGCAAAAGUGUCGGGAAGCAUGCUGACGAUGAACCUGUGCAGCGCGAUCGUCAAAGCACGACAGGCGGGCACAGAACGUGAGCGUGAGGACUGCGCUGCUGUCCUGGCUCUUCCGUCCGCUUAGGACCCGCACCCCAAUUGCAAGCACCGCAAACACCAAUCGCAAGCACCGCACUGCGCCGUGGCGCAUCCCACAUGCGCACCGCCCACGUUUGAGUGCGUGCCGUGUUGCGGAAAUAAAUGCCUACCUGGCAUGUGCUAGCUAAUCCUUUCCCUCAGUAGCAUGCGGGUAAUGGGGACUAAACUCACUAACCCCACACCGACCCCGUCGGCUCCCUUAAUCCAUGCCGUUAGUUGAGUGAAAGGUCAAUGCAGCAAAACGCUCGUCACCCAUCAAACGACGACCCCGCCCGCUAGCUGCUCCUACCCAAAAGCAUUCUCGAUCCACCUCCCGCACCUGGCCACGGCCUCCAGCUGUGGGUCGGCAACUCGGAUGGCGGCCUUGCGGUUGGUCUGCACAUGAUGCAGGUGGGAAGCAUGGAGUCACCACACUAUAAGGACGGGUUUGUGCGUUACGCAUGCUUAUUGUGCGCUACGCAUGCGUCUGGGACUGGACGCAUGCGUGCCAGAACGCAUGAAGCAUGAGGGGCGGGGGGCCGGGUCGGGCGCACAGCCGUGCGUACAAGCACGCAUGCGGGCCGCAUGCAGGCGCAUGCGCACCGACCUGACGCAAGCACUAAGAGACGCACAUAUUCCUGUAAGUCACGACAUAGUCGUAGACAGCAAGCACGGCUCGCUCGCUCGUAGGGUCGCGUGAUCGCCGGACGCGGCACUCCAACACUUCAACAGCGUCAGACCCUGCUAUAUGAUGCAAUGUGUAUAUCAAAACGAACAGUAUAAGUAGGCUAGCAGGCCUUGCGAAGUAUUCUCUCGGACAUAGUGCUAGACUUUUAGUCUUUAGACGGUCGGGCCUAAACGAGUGAACGCAUGUGUAUAUAUGGUAUGCUGUACUAUCUGGGCAUCGCACCAAGCAACCAGCAUGGAGGCUGCACCUGACAAGUCGGGUUGUGUGGCUGGCGUGUAGAGGGCUGGCCACUGCCGCUGCCGCGCACUGCUCGCAAGGCCGGGGACUGCGAGGCAGCUCAAGGUGUGCGUAGAGUGCGUAGGCGUGGUUGUUUCCGCGACAGUGCCUUUGUUAAGCAGCCGCGGCGGGGGUUAUGGUUAUGAGAUAGCACUGGCGUGGGACUGGGCGUGCACGAUGAAGGUCGCGGGCGACGGCGCAACUGAGUGCAACGGUGGCACUGAGGUGGCGGCCCCCCACAGGCCAUGGCUGCCGUUGUCGCCAGCGCUAGCGUUGGACGCGUGCUGCCCCCCGCCGGUAUCAACCCCGCGGCUGCACCAUCAGCUGCGCCAUCGCAUCAGGCGACGAGACAGCACUGGCGUGGGGCUGGGUGCUUGGGAUAGUGCCGCGGGCGGCGGUGGCGCCAGUGAGCGCAACGGCGGUGCUGCGGCGGUGGCCCCCCACAUGCCAUGGCUGCCGUUGUCGCCAGCGCUAACGUUGGACGCGUGCUGCCCCCCGCCGGCGUCACCCCCGCGGCUGCACAUUCAGCUGCGCCGUCGCAUCAGGCGACGAGACAGCACUGGCAUGGGGCUGGGUGCUUGGGAUUAGUGCCGCGGGCGGCGGUGGCGCCAGUGAGCGCAACGGCGGUGCUGCGGCGGUGGCCCCCCACAGGCCAUGGCUGCCGUUGUCGCCAGCGCUAACGUUGGACGCGUGCUGCCCCCCGCCGGCGUCACCCCCGCGGCUGCACCAUCAGCUGCGCCGUCGCAUCAGGCGACGAGACAGCACUGGCGUGGGCCUGGGCGUAUGUGAUUGGUGCCGCGGGUGGCGUCGUCGUGGGAGAGCGCAACGGCGGUGCUGCGGCGGUGGCCCCCCACAUGCCAUGGCUGCCGUUGUCGCCAGCGCUAGCGUUGGACGCGUGCUGCCCCCCGCCGGCGUCACCCCCGCGGCUGCACCAUCAGCUGCGCCGUCGCAUCAGGCGACGAGACAGCACUGGCGUGGGGCUGGGUGCUUGGGAUUAGUGCCGCGGGCGGCGAUGGCGCCAGUGAGCGCAACGGCGGUGCUGCGGCGGUGGCCCCCCACAGGCCACGGCUGCCGUUGUCGCCAGCGCUAACGUUGGACGCGUGCUGCCCCCCGCCGGCGUCACCCCCGCGGCUGCACAUUCAGCUGCGCCGUCGCAUCAGGCGACGAGACAGCACUGGCGUGGGGCUGGGUGUUUGGGAUCGGUGCCGCGGGCGGCGAUGGCGCCAGUGAGCGCAACGGGGGUGCUGCGGCGGUGGCCCCCCACAGGCCACGGCUGCCGUUGUCGCCAGCGCUAACGUUGGACGCGUGCUGCCCCCCGCCGGCGUAACCCCCGCGGCUGCACAUUCAGCUGCGCCGUCGCAUCAGGCGACGAGACAGCACUGGCGUGGGGCUGGGUGUUUGGGAUCGGUGCCGCGGGCGGCGAUGGCGCCAGUGAGCGCAACGGCGGUGCUGCGGCGGUGGCCCCCCACAGGCCACGGCUGCCGUCGUCGCCAGCGCUAACGUUGGACGCGUGCUGCCCCCCGCCGGCGUCACCCUCGCGGCUGCACCAUCAGCUGCGCCGUCGCAUCAGGCGACGAGACAGCACUGGCGUGGGCUUGGGCGUUUGACGUUGGGGCAGCGGGCUGGCCGCUGCCGCUACUCACAUUCCCGGGGACUGCGAGGUAGCUCAAGGCAGUGGAUAGGUGCAGUUGUGGCUGCGACGAUGCUUGUCCGCAGCAGCAGCCGCGGCAGGGGCUAUGGUCGCAGACGCCAUAUCACGGUGCUUUUAAGCGCCUCAAGUCCUGUGUUAUGAGUUUGAGGAUUGCACAGCACCGAGCCCCGACCACAAAGCGUUUCCCCGGCUGUCCCGUGAAAGGCGCUAGCUAGGCACGAGCGGCGGUGCGUGUGCCUGAGAGCUUUACCCCGUAUCCAGCCCAGGGCACAAGGCGUUCCCCCGGCUGUCCCUGAUAAGGCGUUGGGUGUGAGCGGCGGUGCGUGUGCCAGAGAGCUUUACCCCGUAUCCAGCCCAGGGCACAAGGCGUUCCCCCGGCUGUCCCUGAUAAGGCGUUGGGCGUGAGCGGCGGUGAGAGCAAUGCCCCGUAUCCAGCCCCGAGCACAAGGUGUUCCCCCGGCUUUCUUUCAUACGGCGUUGGGCGUGAGCGGCGGUGCGUGUGCCUGAGAGCUUUACCCCGUAUCCAGCCCUGGGCAUAAUGUGUUCCCCCGGCUGUCCCUGAUAUGGCGUUGGGCGUGAGCGGUGGUGCGUGUGCCUGAGAGCUUUACCCCGUAUCCAGCCCAGGGCAAAAGGCGUUCCCCCGGCUGUCCCUGAUAAGGCGUUGGGUGUGAGCGGCGGUGCGUGUGCCAGAGAGCUUUACCCCGUAUCCAGCCCAGGGCACAAGGCGUUCCCCCGGCUGUCCCUGAUAAGGCGUUGGGCGUGAGCGGCGGUGAGAGCAAUGCCCCGUAUCCAGCCCCGAGCACAAGGUGUUCCCCCGGCUUUCUUUCAUACGGCGUUGGGCGUGAGCGGCGGUGCGUGUGCCUGAGAGCGUUACCCCGUAUCCAGCCCUGGGCAUAAUGUGUUCCCCCGGCUGUCCCUGAUAAGGCGUUGGGCGUGAGCGGUGGUGCGUGUGCCUGAGAGCUUUACCCCGUAUCCAGCCCAGGGCAAAAGGCGUUCCCCCGGCUGUCCCUGAUAAGGCGUUGGGUGUGAGCGGCGGUGCGUGUGCCAGAGAGCUUUACCCCGUAUCCAGCCCAGGGCACAAGGCGUUCCCCCGGCUGUCCCUGAUAAGGCGUUGGGCGUGAGCGGCGGUGAGAGCAAUGCCCCGUAUCCAGCCCCGAGCACAAGGUGUUCCCCCGGCUUUCUUUCAUACGGCGUUGGGCGUGAGCGGCGGUGCGUGUGCCUGAGAGCGUUACCCCGUAUCCAGCCCUGGGCAUAAUGUGUUCCCCCGGCUGUCCCUGAUAAGGCGUUGGGCGUGAGCGGCGGUGUGUGUGCCUGAGAGCUUUACCCCGUAUCCAGCCCAUCCAGGGCACAAGGCGUUCCCCCGGCUUUCCUUCAGACGGCAUUGGGCGUGAGCGGCGAUGCGUGUGUCUGAGAGCUUUACCCCGUAUCCAGCCCAGGGCACAAGGCGUUCCCCCGGCUUUCCUUCAGAUGGCGUUGGGCGUGAGCGGCGGUGCGUGUGCCUGAGAGCUUUACCCCGUAUCUAGCACGAGGCACAAGACGUUUUCCCGGCUUUUCCUGCUUCGGCACUGGGCGUGAGCGGCGGUGCGUGUGCCUGAGAGCAGUGCCCCGUAUCCAGCCCCGAGCACAAGGCGUUCCCCGGCUGUCGGCGUUGGGCAUCAGCUGAGGCGCGUGCGCAGAGAAGGCCCCGUGUGCGUUCAUAUUAAUCCCCCUUUCAACACCGCACAUGGCAAGACAAGCAAGUAUCAAGUAUGCGGCCAACCAAGUUUAAGUGUUGCAUGGGGCACUGCUUCCAAACUCUUUGCGGCACUUCCUUCUUUGCCAGAUAUACUGUAUCCUUCUAUGCAUAUCACACAUUACUAAAGACUACAGACACGUCAAGGUGUCAGUAUGUAGAGACCCGCAAACAGUUCUCUGCCACUCGGCAGAGGACGCCCUCGCCCUGCUAUGUUUGCUUUUAAGGCCCAGUCUCCACUAGUAACGCUAUGUGGCGCACAGGUGCGCCUUGCAGCGGCCAUAACGCUGGGUUGUUGCAGGGGUGGUGACGUCGUUGACCGAGCGCAAUAUUUAUCGCCCACCUUCAAUUCGUUCAGGUUCAGGCUCAACAAAAGCAUUUCAAAAGGCUACAGAGCCAUCACGCGUGGCGCAGGUGAGGCGGGGGUACCAUCCGCGCGACUUGGUUGCUAGCUCCCGAGGCUGUCAGCUGAGAGCAUGCGCAUGCUAAGGUGUCUGUAUAAUGGCACCGUACAAGCCUGUCAUCAGUUCAUGCUCAGUUCUCAGUCCUGGUACCCUCCCGCCCUCCCUCAGGACUCCGGCCACACGAAGGGCCACCCGUGCGGACCACCCCUGGGUGGGCUAGACGUGGCGCACUCACACGUUAACCCCAACAGGCAAGUCUAUGUCCAGAUAUUAUUUCGCAAUUGCUGAAGUAAGCACUGCAUGAGUAGCGUGUCUGCAGCUGAACAUGGGGGGAAAGGUACCUUGCGUCUUACCCUCUGAUAUGCCUGGUUUUGUGGUUUGGUUCCUGACCGAAUCGUCCUGAACACUAUGCAGGCUUACGAAGGGCAGCACGGAUGUGGCUAGCUGUGGACUGGAGCGCUGGCACCGGCAGCAUGCGGAGUCUGCGGUGGCACUGUGCAGCAGGUCGGACGUUGUGGUUGAGGUCGUUGUGUGUUUGGCAAGACUUAGUAUGGGCACACCUCUGCCGCUUAUGCCUUGGCGGGUGGCGUUUGGUUGUUCCGCGGAAGUGGCUACAUGCACAUCUGUGGCUAGCUACGGACUGGAGUGCCGGCACCGGCAGCAUGCAGAGUCUGCGGUAGCACUGUGCAGCAGGUCGGACGUUGUGGUUGUCGUUGUGUGUUUGGCAAGACUUUAGUAUGGGCACACCUCUGCCGCUUAUGCCUUGGCGGGUGGCAUUUGGUUGUUACCCGGAAGCGGCUACAUACGCAUCUGUAUUCAUGUUACGGUAGGGCACGUUCGGUGAGCGAGGAGGUCGAUGGGUGACAGGGCAUGUGGAGCGGGCAGACUUCCUUUCCAGGGUGUGCGAUGGCGGACUAAAAGCCUAAGGAGAGGCUGGUGGAUGGAGGCGGACUCACGCACGCCUUCAGAGAAACAGGCCGAAUCCUCGUUUACACUGGACGUGCGGCACGUGCCGUUGCAUGAACUGUAACACAAAUGAGCAGUUGAGGGAAUUGGCUUCGUGUGCCCCACGUGUGCGUGCAUGCAUGCGGGUGGGAAGCGUGCAGUUGGGGGCAGCUGCUUGCGUUAGGUAACGCACAUGCGUCCCGCAUGCGCCAUGGCAUGCGUAGUACUUCACGCAACCGGCAUAUGUGCUUCAAGCAUGCGUAUGGCAUGCGUUCGGGACGCAUGCGUACAUCCAGAAAGAGUCGCUGCGGCCGCUAGCCAACACCAGCAUGCGUUAGGUAACGCACGCUCUGGUAGCGCACGCAUGCGUAUGGGCGGGCACCGCAUGCGUACAGCACAUGCUUUUCACGCGUUAAGCAUGCGUUUGGGCCAUGCGGCACGCAUGCUAACGCAUGCUCUAACGCAUGGACCCGUCGUUAUAGUGCCAAUGGUUUCUGAUGAGUCAUCAAUGAACAAUCAACGUUAACACCCACUAUCUAAAAGUAUGUACACACGGUAGAAAUAGAAAUAGAAAUAGAGACACCCUGCCGGAGGCAAGUGGUGUGAAUUAAGGGAGUGGGGGGAGAUGAGGAGGUGGGCCAGGCACACGGUAUGUUCCUCCUCCCGUCGUCUGCCAAAGCGCCCCUCCCCGCCCCAACCAAUCGCCCCCAGAUAAACUCACCACAGUACCAGCGGCCGCAGCCCAGCUCGCGGCGUUAGCAAUGAUCUUGUCCAGCUCGGCUGAGUCAAAGCCCGCCACAGCUGCUGCCGAGCUGCCUUGCUGGCCGCAGCAGCCUGUGAGCAUGACCGCACUCCCAAACGCGACCAGCCGGCCCUGCUGCCCCACACGAGCCGAGGCGAUCACUGGCGCAUUGAGCGCAGCAGCCGAAGUAGCCGAAGGUUUGGUGAUGACCCCAGCCGUGAAGAUGGGCACGGCGGUUGGCUGCAGUAGGAUCAGGCUGCGCGCGCUGGGCACGGCGACGGCCUGGCUGACGUCCUUUUGAAGGGCCGGCAGGUCGGCGGCGGCUGUCUGGAUCAGCGUCUGCGUCUCGACCUGCCGGGAGGGCGAGGGUGGGCUGGGCAGCGGCGGAGCCGGCGAGGGCGGCUUGGGCGGCUUGGCGGCGGAGCCAGGGCGCGAGGGCUUGCGCGGUGCGCGCUGCGGCGGCUGCGGUGGAGGGCUGUCGGGGUUGAAGGAGUAGAGGCUCAUGGCUGACAGCUGCGUGCUAGCGUUGGUGGGACCGCCACCGCAGGUCUGGCUGGCGUCGCCAGGGCAGGGCCGGUCGCAGGCAGACGCCGGCAGCGAGCCGUGCUGGGUUGCCUGCUGCCGGCUGACGUCGCCGCCGACGCAGGUUUGCCCGUUUGUAACACCGUAGUGGUCCAGGCCUGCGUGUGCAUCAGCGGGCGGCAAGGAAGCACAGACGUACGUGCGUUGGAACUUGGAAGCCAUUUUUGACAACCAUGACAAAAAACAAACAUGGGCCGUGUGUGGUCCUACCGCAUGCAUGACCAUGCAUGUCGUCAGCUCUUGCCAGCAGCCACCAUGCCUUGCUAGCUCAUGACUACAGCAGCCAUCACGCCUUCGCACGCACACGCACACCCACCUGCAGCCUGGGCGAGCCCGGCGCACUUGGCCACCGUCAUGGCCUCGUCGUUGGUGGCGAGGGUGAUGGGAAGGGCGCGCGAGGCGGCAGCAUAGGCUGUAGUGUCAAAAGCAAACGCGAAGCAGCCCAGGAAGUAGGAGCGGAAGGUCGCCACGAUGGCGGGUGACGGGGGUGGGGACGGCUCCUGGCGGGGAGCCGGCAGGGAAGGUGGGGCAGCCGCCACAACGGCGGGCGAGGGUGGGGCUGGUGAAGAUUGCGAGGGCGGAGGGUUGGGGCUCAGUGUGGGAGGUGCGGGCGGCAAUGGGGAUGGCGGGGCCAGUGAAGAGGGCGCAUCAGGUGACGGCGUAAGAGGAGACGGAGGUGCUGUCGGUGAUGGAGACGGCGGCAGCGAAGAAGGAAGGUCAGUCAAGGGACGCGAGGGCGGCGGCGGCGGUGGUGGCGGCGGCGGUGAGGGAGGAGGCGGGCUUGGGGGAGCAGGCGAGGGCGGUGGGGAGGCAGGCUCGGGGCUGGGCGGCUCAGGGCUGGGCGGCUGGGGGCUGGGCGGCUGGGGGCUGGGCGGCUGGGGACUGGGCGGCUCAGGGCUGGGAGGGUUUGGUGGAAGAGCCAUGCCAGUUUCCAUGGUGAACGAAUCUGCACGUACGCAAAGGAGCACAGAGGGUAUGUUGCAUUGGGUCAGAACUGCUGUGAGCAAUAUGCAUUCUUGAAACCGAGCAUGUGAUCCCACAGGUGACAUGCCCCCUGCUGUAUGUAGAUCGGGUGCCUGCGUGCGUGCUGUGCCGUGCAGGACAGCCAAGCAUGCGCAGCUAGUGUUAGCGUUAGACCAGUGCAUGCGCAUUAGCUAGAGAUAGAACGCUUUACAACAAUAAUAACACACAUUUUACCUAGGCAGCUAACAACGCUUCUUUAUGCGCGGUAUCAGCGUCGGGGCAUGCAGUUUACAAAGAGUCGAGAACGCUACAGCUAUCUAGCCGCCCCCAGCAGAUCGUGCAGGUUCACAGGUAGGCACACGCGCGCACGCAAUCCACGCACACAUGCCCCCCUUACUUCCUACUCACCAAUCAACAGCUCAAACACGUCUGCGGCAACGUACUCCUCUUUAUCCUCUUCCAGGCUGUCGCGUGGGUUUAUUUGAAACGUGUCAAACGUAGACCCAGCCGGCCAGCCGCAAUCUGCCGGAGUUACCGUCCGCGUGUUUGAUCUGGUGUAGGUGAAUGCAUCCGGCUUGGGGAAGGCGAUGGGCUCUGUAGGGCUCAGGUUCAACCCACAGCUUCGGCCGCCAAGAUAUAGGUUCAGUUUCACAUACAGAAGGGUGGUGCGGUACGUGAGCGUGAGGCUGUAGAACUUGCUGCUGGGCGACGGCAGUGUCAGAAAGGUGCCCGACACGCCGAUAUAUGGAAAGCGCAGGGUCUUGGUGCAGCCGGUGGCGGUCAUGGUGCUUCCCCGGUAGCUCCAGCCAGCGGCGCAGUCUACCACCUCUCCCCAGGCAGGCGACCGCGUGUAUAUGCUUUGGCCAAGGCGGAUGCCUAGCGCCUGAAGUGAAGUGCCGGUGAGGUCUCCAAGUGGCAGCGUGUCAACGCUGACAGUCCGCGUGUUGGCGAACACUGGGCUGGGCGGCUCGGGGCUGGGCGGCUCGGGACUGGGCGGCCACGGGAUGGUCCUAGGCGGUGACGGUGCCGGCGACGGGGGCAUUGGCGAGGGUGAUGGAGUCAUGCCCAUGUCCAUGGUGAAUGAAUCUGCACGCAGGCAGGAUCAAACACGCAUGGGAGCCUUGAUUGAUUGGAGCCUCACGUCAGACCUAUCUACCAACUAACUGCAUGCAUGCGUACGUCAAUUCGAUACACACGACAAAAGUGAGGCAGGUGAUCUAGGUGAUCCCACAUGCGACGUGUAGGACGUGCGUAUUUGCCCCCUGUUGGCCUGAUGCUCCGUGCUGUGGAUGGGUGCCCAUACAAAUAUACAUGCAAGCCAGUAAUCAAGCCACCACACAUACACGAACCCGGCCAUGUAUUGGAUGCCAUGCCAUAUCGUGGCCGCAUGCCCCCUCCAUCCUCCGCUUACCUAUGAGCAGCUCGAACACUGCAACGUUCCCGUACGCCACGGCAUUCAUCUGGUACGAAAAGAGGAAAAAGUUGUCGAACGUGGACCCGGGCCAGCCACAAUCAGCCGGCGUCAGCGUCACUGUUUUCGAGGGGGCGGUGUAGGUGAACGCGUCCGGAGGGGGCUCAAAGAUAAUGGGCUCUGUGCGGUCGAGUUCCAGCUCGCAUUUGUGAUUGAACUCGACGUCGCCGGUUGCAUAAAAGCCCACUCCCACGUGAGGCGAGGAUGUGCGGUACGUGAGCGUGAGCCUCCAGAACGGGGAGGACGGGGGCAGCGCCUGGAACCAGCUUGAUAAGCUUUCACUAGUGUAUACCAGGGUCCUGCUGCAGCCGCCGGUCGUGGUCAUAUAUGUUGUCCUACGGUUGGGGUUGCUCCAGCCUGCAGCGCAAUCUUUAACCGUUCCCCAGUUGCUGUUUGGUUCGAAGAUGUCGACGCCGUUGGGGGCAUUCACAAGGCCAAUGCCCAGGGCGUCCAGCGAAGUCGCCGUAAGGGAUCCAAGCGGCACUGUGCCAAAAUUGACGCUGCGCGUGCUGCCAAAACCCAUGGGCUCCGGUGAGGGGGGUGAUGGUGACGGGGGUAGCGGCGGCGGGGAGGCAGGCUCGGGGCUGGGAGGCUCAGGGCUGGGAGGCUGGGGGCUGGGCGGCUGCUGGGGACUGGGCGGCUCAGGGCUGGGAGGGGCUGGUGGAAGAGUCGUGCCAGUUUCCAUGGUGAACGAAUCUGCACGUACGUAAAGGAGCACACAGAGUAUGUUGCAUUGGGUCAGAACUGCUGUGAGCAAUAUGCAUUCUUGAAAUCGAGCAUGUGAUCCCACAGGUGACAUACAUGCCCCCUGCUGUAUGUAGCUCGGGUGCCUGCGUGCGUGCUGUGCCGUGCAGGACAGCCAAGCAUGCGCAGCUAGCGUUAUUACCGUUAGACCCAGCAGUGCAUGCGCAUUAGCUAGAGAUAGAACGCUUUACAACAAUAAUAACACACAUUUUACCUAGGCAGCUAACAACGCUUCUUUAUGCGCGGUAUCAGCGUCGGGGCAUGCAGUUUACAAAGAGUCGAGAACGCUACAGCUAUCUAGCCGCCCCCAGCAGAUCGUGCAGGUUCACAGGUAGGCACACGCGCGCACGCAAUGCACGCACACAUGCCCCCUUUACUUCCUACUCACCAAUCAACAGCUCAAACACGUCUGCGGCAACGUACUCCUCUUCCAGGCUGUCGGGGGUGUCGCGUGGGUUUAUUUGAAACGUGUCAAACGUAGACCCAGCCGGCCAGCCGCAAUCUGCCGGAGUUACCGUCCGCGUGUUUGAUCUGGUGUAGGUGAAUGCAUCCGGCUUGGGGAAGGCGAUGGGCUCUGUAGGGCUCAGGUUCAACCCACAGCUUCGGCCGCCAAGAUAUAGGUUCAGUUUCACAUACAGAAGGGUGGUGCGGUACGUGAGCGUGAGGCUGUAGAACUUGCUGCUGGGCGACGGCAGUGUCAGAAAGGUGCCCGACACGCCGAUAUAUGGAAAGCGCAGGGUCUUGGUGCAGCCGGUGGCGGUCAUGGUGCUUCCCCGGUAGCUCCAGCCAGCGGCGCAGUCUACCACCUCUCCCCAGGCAGGCGACCGCGUGUAUAUGCUUUGGCCAAGGCGGAUGCCUAGCGCCUGAAGCGAAGUGUUGGUGAUGUCUCCAAGUGGCAGUGUGUCAACGCUGACAGUCCGCGUGUUGGCGAACACUGGGCUGGGCGGCUCGGGGCUGGGCGGCUCGGGACUGGGCGGCCACGGGAUGGUCCUAGGCGGUGACGGUGCCGGCGACGGGGGCAUUGGCGAGGGUGAUGGAGUCAUGCCCAUGUCCAUGGUGAAUGAAUCUGCACGCAGGCAGGAUCAAACACGCAUUCAAGCCUCCCAUCCAUCAGACAUACCUACUGCGCGCAUGCGUAAUACAGCAAAUUCGUGCGCGUGACAAGAGUGAGGCAGCAGGUAAUCCCACGCACACACAACGUGCACGGCGUGAGUGUGUACGUGCCCCCUGUUGGCCUGAUCGAUGCUGUGUGCUGUGGAUGGGGGCCCAUAUAAAACAUGCAGGCUAAUCAGCAGGCACAACACCAUACACGAGCCCAGCCAUAUAUUGCUUGGAUGCCAUGCCAUAGCGUCGCUAGGCAGCGGUGCCCCCUCCUCCGCUUACCUAUCAGCAGCUCGAACACUGCAACGUUCCCAGACGUCACGGCAUUCAUCUGGUGCGAGAAGAGGAAAAAGUUGUUGAACGUGGAGCCAGCCCAGCCGCAAUCAGCCGGCGUCAGCGUCACUGUUUUCGGGGGGGCGGUGUAGGUGAACGCGUCCGGAGGGGGCUGAAAGAUUAUGGGCUCCGUGCGGUCGAGUUCCAGCUCGCAACCGCGGCUGAACUCGACGUCGCCCGUUUCAUGAAAGCCCACUCCGAUGUGAGGUGAGGAUGUGCGGUACGUGAGUGUGAGCCUCCAGAACGGGGAGGACAGGGGCAGCGCCUGGAACCAGCUUGAUGUGCCUUCAAUAUUGUAUGCCAGGGUCCUGCUGCAGCCGGUCGAAGUCAUGUAUUGCGUUAUACUGUCGCGGUAGGGCCAGCCUAUAGCACAAUCUUCAACCUUUCCCAAGUCGUGGAUUGGUUGGUUGAUGUCGGUGCCACUGCUGGGUGUGUUUCCAAUGACAAUGCCCAGGGCGUCCAGUGAAGUCGCCGUAAGGUAUUUCAGCGGAAUAGUGCCAAAAUCUACGCUGCGCGUGCUGCCAAAACCCAUGGGCUCCGGUGGGGCGGGUGACGGGGGCAGCGGCGGCGGGGAGGCAGGCUCGGGGCUGGGCGGCUGGGGGCUGGGCGGCUGGGGGCUGGGCGGCUCGGGGCUGGGCGGCUCGGGGCUGGGCGGCUCAUAAGGGCUGGGCGGCUCCGGGCUGGGAGGGGUUGGUGGAAGAGCCAUGCCCGUUUCCAUGGUGAACGAAUCUGCAAAGGAGCACACGGGGUACGUUGCAUUUAGUCAGGGCUGCUGUAUGUGAGCAUUAUGCAUUCUUGGAAUCGAUACAAGCAAGAAUUAUUAGCACGAGACCAGCAGUGCAUGUAUGUAUGCGCAUUAUUACUAGCUAGCGAACGCUUUACAGUAGUGACAACGCACUUUACCUAGGCAGCUUACAGCGCUAGCUUGAUUGGGAAUAAUGCACAAUUUCAGCGCCAGCAGAGCAUGCGGUUUACAAAGAGUCUAGAACGCUACGGCUAGCUGCCAGCAGUCGUGCAGUAGGUUCCCCACAGGUAGGCACACGCGCGCACGCAAUGCACGCACACAUGCCCCCUUUACUUCCUACUCACCAAUCAACAGCUCAAACACGUCUGCGGCAACGUACUCCUCUUCCAGGCUGUCGGGGGUGUCGCGUGGGUUUAUUUGAAACGUGUCAAACGUAGACCCAGCCGGCCAGCCGCAAUCUGCCGGAGUUACCGUCCGCGUGUUUGAUCUGGUGUAGGUGAAUGCAUCCGGCUUGGGGAAGGCGAUGGGCUCUGUAGGGCUCAGGUUCAACCCACAGCUUCGGCCGCCAAGAUAUAGGUUCAGUUUCACAUACAGAAGGGUGGUGCGGUACGUGAGCGUGAGGCUGUAGAACUUGCUGCUGGGCGACGGCAGUGUCAGAAAGGUGCCCGACACGCCGAUAUAUGGAAAGCGCAGGGUCUUGGUGCAGCCGGUGGCGGUCAUGGUGCUUCCCCGGUAGCUCCAGCCAGCGGCGCAGUCUACCACCUCUCCCCAGGCAGGCGACCGCGUGUAUAUGCUUUGGCCAAGGCGGAUGCCUAGCGCCUGAAGCGAAGUGUUGGUGAUGUCUCCAAGUGGCAGUGUGUCAACGCUGACAGUCCGCGUGUUGGCGAACACUGGGCUGGGCGGCUCGGGGCUGGGCGGCUCGGGACUGGGCGGCCACGGGAUGGUCCUAGGCGGUGACGGUGCCGGCGACGGGGGCAUUGGCGAGGGUGAUGGAGUCAUGCCCAUGUCCAUGGUGAAUGAAUCUGCACGCAGGCAGGAUCAAACACGCAUUCAAGCCUCCCAUCCAUCAGACAUACCUACUGCGCGCAUGCGUAAUACAGCAAAUUCGUGCGCGUGACAAGAGUGAGGCAGCAGGUAAUCCCACGCACACACAACGUGCACGGCGUGAGUGUGUACGUGCCCCCUGUUGGCCUGAUCGAUGCUGUGUGCUGUGGAUGGGGGCCCAUAUAAAACAUGCAGGCUAAUCAGCAGGCACAACACCAUACACGAGCCCAGCCAUAUAUUGCUUGGAUGCCAUGCCAUAGCGUCGCUAGGCAGCGGUGCCCCCUCCUCCGCUUACCUAUCAGCAGCUCGAACACUGCAACGUUCCCAGACGUCACGGCACUCAUCUGGUGCGAGAAGAGGAAAAAGUUGUUGAACGUGGAGCCAGCCCAGCCGCAAUCAGCCGGCGUCAGCGUCACUGUUUUCGGGGGGGCGGUGUAGGUGAACGCGUCCGGAGGGGGCUGAAAGAUUAUGGGCUCCGUGCGGUCGAGUUCCAGCUCGCAACCGCGGCUGAACUCGACGUCGCCCGUUUCAUGAAAGCCCACUCCGAUGUGAGGUGAGGAUGUGCGGUACGUGAGUGUGAGCCUCCAGAACGGGGAGGACAGGGGCAGCGCCUGGAACCAGCUUGAUGUGCCUUCAAUAUUGUAUGCCAGGGUCCUGCUGCAGCCGGUCGAAGUCAUGUAUUGCGUUAUACUGUCGCGGUAGGGCCAGCCUAUAGCACAAUCUUCAACCUUUCCCAAGUCGUGGAUUGGUUGGUUGAUGUCGGUGCCACUGCUGGGUGUGUUUCCAAUGACAAUGCCCAGGGCGUCCAGUGAAGUCGCCGUAAGGUAUUUCAGCGGAAUAGUGCCAAAAUCUACGCUGCGCGUGCUGCCAAAACCCAUGGGCUCCGGUGGGGCGGGUGACGGGGGCAGCGGCGGCGGGGAGGCAGGCUCGGGGCUGGGCGGCUGGGGGCUGGGCGGCUGGGGGCUGGGCGGCUCGGGGCUGGGCGGCUCGGGGCUGGGCGGCUCAUAAGGGCUGGGCGGCUCCGGGCUGGGAGGGGUUGGUGGAAGAGCCAUGCCCGUUUCCAUGGUGAACGAAUCUGCAAAGGAGCACACGGGGUACGUUGCAUUUAGUCAGGGCUGCUGUAUGUGAGCAUUAUGCAUUCAGGGCCGCGCAGGUGGCUGUAUGGGCGUGGCCCUGAAAGACGGAUGACAUCCAGACAUGACGACGAGUAUGUGGCUGCACGGAGUGAGGUCUUGCGUAAGCGUGCGUGGUGUGAUCGGGAAGGACCUCUUGCUUGUCUGCAGCCGACCAUCUCAAAGGUCUAUUUUAAGCGGAGUGCAACGCAGAUUAAAUUGGUUUUGAAGUAAGGCGUAAGACAAAGGUCCGGACAUGCGUUGUGUUUGAGGUGGGUGAAGGAGUGCAGAGGACAUGGGGCGUGCCGGUGUGGCCCUGGAGCCUUGGGUAGGCAAUGAGCAGCCGCAGCAGCACAGUUCAGUUGUCUUUGAUUUAUUGCCGGCAUAACCGCGAGCGGUAUCUGGCCGGCUUUAGCAGCUUUUCGCUAGUCUUGCACAAGUGACUCGCAUUGAGUGUUGGCCAGACUUGCUUACCCACCCGCCCACUAGCGGACCGCCAUGCGAUCCAUGGGGCGUGCCCCAAAGGGAGUCAAGUGACGUGGGACGCAACCUGACGCAACGUACGGUGUUAUAGUGCUGAGCAUGAGAGCAGGCUUGUGCAAUUAGUGACCCAACGUGGCGUAGAGGUGAGGUGAAAGGAGGUUGGUAUAGGAUUGGCAACUGAAGUCUUAGUAUGAUCUGGAGUGCCAGAGUUGUAACAUACGUAUGUUGAGCGAAAGGUACUGCGGAUGCUGGCGUGUGCACAACCUUCCGGACCGGUGACUGGGGCGGGGUCGGGGUCAGGGGGGUCGGGGCUGUACGUUGGACGGAGCCCUACACGUUAUGCAAAUACAGAGUCUCAGCAUCGCCGCAUUGCUUCAUAUACCGCAUGCACGCUCAGUCUGCAGGUAUUGAUUGAACAAAACGGCAGCAUGGCUGGAAAGUCGCGACCGAAGCGGGGCUGGCAAGAACUCCGGCGAAACCGUCUUCGUAAUCCAGGCUGCCUUGAUGAUUAGAUACCAAUGCCUAAGAUGUAUAGCUCUGAUUUAUUGGGGCUGACAGCGCGGCUGUAUUAUGGGGAAAUGCUCGCGCUCGCAGCACACGCGCCCGCGAGGCUUCUGACAGGUAUAUAGGUGCCCAUAUUGAAGCCAUUUAUAUGUUCGCAAAUUUAACUGGACCAGCGGGAGCGUCUGCGAUAAGAUCGGCAUCUAACAUGUCUUUCUUGCAGCUGAGGAGUUCAUAACAUAUGUUUGAGUGUGUUAAAACUGUUGCUGUCACAGUUACUUUCGCGAUCGAGGUUCCCUGACUCGAGUCGGGUGACGGAUCUGCGUCGCUGGGGCCUCCUCUUCCUUGUGUACAGUGGCUUCGUGUAACUGAUGGCUUAAAUAAUAGCAGCGUGCAGUCGGCGGGCGGCGGGAACGUGUGUUUAGCAACUUAGCGAAACCCUGCGUUCUGAAACGUAUGGGUGCGCCGCGCCCCCUGCGGGGGCCGGGGCACGCCAACCCUGCAAGUCUGCUUGGAAAGGGUCCGCUGGCGUUGAGGGGUCUUACUGCUGGGCAGCAGAAGGAAAGCGCUGUUGCAAUGGCGUUACUAUACUAUUUAUGCUACACAAUAUCCGGGGGGUAGUUGCUGCCCGGCGUGUUGCAGGGGUUGCGUGUUGAGAAGCCGGCCGGGCAGACUUUUGUGGGCGGCGGCCGUGACCGGCGCCGCCAGGCCGUGCCGCACGGAGGCCUAAACGGAGAUAGGUUUUUGCCCCGCGGCACGGCUACCAAACCGGCGCUCACGGAACAUUGGGCAAGCCUUGGAAAGUCUUCUGGGAAAACCGCGCGCUGCGGGUGCCCGUGUGUAAGGCCAUGUUUCUGCACUAAGGGUCCGGGACAUACUACAUAUGCAUUUUUGGUCCCUAGAUGCGGAGUCGUCUGAGUCGAUAUAUAAUGUAUGUAUGAUGCACCAAGCAACAUAAUGUCGGCCUCGCUUGCAACCCGCUUUCAACCCUUGAAACACCACUACAUGACAUGGAUUGCAUAUAGCAAACACGUACCUUGCGCAGAGCCGGUGGAUAAAAACGACAGCAGCAGCAUUAUUGUUGUAAUGACCUGCUGCGGGAGUGCGUGACGAAGGCCGUAGCUCUGGUUAAUAGUACAUUGGUAGCAUUAUGCAUGACAGUUAGCCAACGCUCCGUCCACAUCGAGCGGCGCACAGCCACGUGCACCAUUAAGCGUAAGUAAGUUCGCUCCAUACAUCCAGCAGCGCUCACCAGCAUAUUGAACGUCACAGUUAGUGUGGCCCUGAGCUGCCGAGCAGCAGGGGCCUUGACGGCGGCGGGGCCGCUGCUCCCGCCGCGAGCAUUAGUAGCCAUGGACAUGAGCAGUGCCAUCCACCAGCAGCAGCAGCAGCAGCGCGCGAUGGGCAUGCGCGGGACCUUAAAGCUACCAGCGUGAUUGUUGAAGCCGCUGACACAUAAACAGAACAAGGUAGGGUGGAUGUAUGAGUAGUGAAAUAGAGCGAGACCUUGCUUACUUGCUUGCUUGAUUGGAUUGGUUCGUGCUUUGUUUUCUGCUGUAACAUGUGUAACAUAGGCUGUUGAGAGUUGGGUAUAUAACAUUUCCCCUGAGGUGAUGAGGCGCAUGAGCAUGAGCAUUUACAUGGCGUCGUAGUCCAUGCGGCCCCACUAACUUCUUUGAGUCCGGAGGCGCAUAUAGCAGAACAAAACAGGUUCAGUCCGCUCAAUCGCCCCGCAGAAUGCUAGCACGCAGAGCCUGCACUGAGUACAGGAACGCGGCUAAUUUUCUAACCUCUGUGCUAAGCAUGACUUCCUUCACACAAUUACUGUUGAUUCCAUAUGCCACUCUUAGCUAUGUGUAAGCUCCACAUUCAAGCAAGACGUGCCUCUCGUCCUCUACACACUCGCCACGGCACACCCGGCACCGCCUUUGGGUCCGCAAGCGCCGCACUCCAUUGCGCAUUGGCCUAUUUGCCUCUACAUCCCAACACCCUAACCUGAACCGCAUGAGUGCACUUACGUGCUUAUACGCCACAAACUCCUUCAUAUGCGCGAGCUUGCCUUCGUUUACUGAGGCGCCAGUCAACUCACUCGGUGGCCAAUGGGACCAAUCGUCGACUAGUACAACACAACACAACACAACACAACACAACAACGACUCUCUGUGCCACACUGUGUUGCAGGUGGAGCAUGGCGCGGGUGACGGCACCCAGUCUGCCCCCAUCGUUUAAGGCCUGGACGAGGGCCUUGCCUGCGCGGCGGACAUAUAGCUCGCGGAUGCUACCUACCCCCAGGCCAAGGGUGUUAGUGGGCUGGAGGAUAGCGCGGGUGGGGAAGCCGCGUUUCAGGCCGUAGCACAUUUUUGCAGUGCUUGCGAUGAGCGCGUCGAGGCUGGCCACGUCGUGUGUGCUGUACGGCAUGAAUGGGAGGCUGUAGGCCACUGCUGGGUGGAUGGUGAAUUGUAUCAUCCGGAGUUUCUGGUCCGGUGUGGCGAGUGAUGUGGCGAUGCGUUGCCCUCGCUUCUUAAUUUUUUCCCGGAGACGCGUCUUCUUUGCCCUCUGCACUCAGGCGCGCCUGGUGCUACCCCCUGCCCUGGAGACGCGUCUCCGGGUGACCUGAGACUCAUAAGGGCGCGCCCUUUGUUCAGUCCUUUCCCUGCUCACCGGCAACCGCCUUCCAUGCUGCCCCUGGGGAUCUGGUGGGUCCAGGUCAUCCUGGUCAUCGCUCCGCUGGUCUCCUUGUCGCCGGCGUGUCCUGCGAGGGGGCUGGAUGGGCGAGGGAUGCAGUCCCGGUGCUUAGGCCUGCCGGUUCACGGUUACGCGCAUUGUCUUCGUAGUCUGCCUCCUGCUGCUUCCUGCCUGCCCUCGCACCCGGUGGCGCUGGCCGUCCGUGAAAUCCGACCCAACAUCUUCCUAUACCCCCGAUGGCCUUGGGGAGCCUCAGCUAUGGUCCUCGGUCUAAGGGGAACCGCCACCUUUAAGCUAAGUGAGCCCCGCGCUUAGUCGCUCGGUGCCGGCACCUCUUCCCGCUCAUUCGUCUUCCGGUCUACCAUCAGCUUUCCCUCACUUUCCCGUCCCUCGGGGCUCCCCCAAGCUGCCGAAGUCACCAUUAUAGUCGACGUAGGUGUCCCAAAACCCCGCGGUUGGGGUUCGGUGCGUACUUAGGGUGCGGAUUACUGUCUUCCGCGAGACGGCGACAACCCAAGAGGCCGUCCGUGUCCGCUCCCUGGCGUCUGGUAGGUCGAUGGGGGGGGAGGGGUAUCAAUUGUAUGGGGGUAGGGGGGGGUCUACAGGCGCCCCUCCCCCCCAUAGCCCUUGCGAACUUUGCUGCAUUGCGCGAAGCGCAUGCGCGAAGCCGAAUCGGCUUUGCGCGCAGCAAUAGUCACGCUUAAAAUUUGUUGAAACAAAGUUAAUUGCUCAGCAGUUAUUGGAUUUGUGUUUGCACGCUGAACAAACCGGUCGGGUCGGUCGUCGUCGGGUCGCCGGCGCGACCGCCUAAGACAGUGGCGCUAAAUGCACGUUCGCUGCAUAGUUUCAUGCUUGUGGACUAGCAGGGAAGAGGGCGCGGUCUGGCGGGCUACCACUCUCCUCACUGAUCAUCCGUUUCAUCCGUAAACCAAUCAGUAUUCAUCAAAAAGGGGUAAAGGGGAGUUUGAGGCAGGGGGAGGGGGGGGGGGGUCGAAGGCAGAUGGGGGGGGGAGGGGGGUCAUCGCACCCCCGCCGACCUGCAACACGCAAAAUCGCGGACACGGACGGCCUCGGCCGGAACCACACCGCAAGCGCGGCCAUUCAUAUUAUGCAUUUCCUAAGCCUUACCAUGGUGCCGAUCCAAGAUCUACGUCCUAAACUCUCGCCCGCGAACAAUCGGUAAAGAAUGUAGCGUUGAGUUGCUAGGUUCGAGAGGUGAUGAUAAAGCGCGUAUGCGAAAUGGACAAGUAGUUCUUAAGGAGUAAUGGGAAACGCCAUCUCUGGGUCUGUACAGGGAUGGGGGCGAAAACAAAUUGUUUCCGCCAAGGAUUUCCGCUAUUGGUUCCGCCGGAUUUUCGCAGCAGCCACUCAUUCCGCCUGUGGGCGAAAUUGGCGUUAAUCCCCAGCGGAAAUGGCACGAAAGAGCCCAAGUUCCACUCAUUUACACCUGAUUUGGCCCUCCCUGGCUACCCAAAUGAUACCAAACCGUUCCAGGAGGACAGAAGUAGGGCUUGCGCGGCUAUUGGGGUUGCCUGUGGGUCAAACCGUGCCAACGACAGCAACAUUCCAGACACCUUGCGCCCGGAAGUCCGGCAUUUCAUGCCAGUAGCUGUAUCUUUCUAGCUGUAGUGGCAUUACAAUAACGCUAACACCAGGUUGGCUGACAGAGAGACGCCCCGGACGUGGACAUGGACUCGCCGACACGCAAUUCUUCCAGACUCAAGCAACAACCUGGGCCUAGUAAGCCCUUCACAAGCAAGAAAUGACUUGGUGGGGGCCUAUGCACACGUGGAACGUCCUGGAAGACGGCUUUAUGCGGCAAUGGCUGGGUCAAUGGACAGGCGAAAGUGCUGGCGAAAUGUUUUGGGGUUCACCGGCGAAAUAAUUUCGCUAAGAGGCGGGCAAAAAUCCCAAAAAAUUUUCGCCCGCCUGCGGCGGGCUUUCAGGCCGAGCACUUCAGUCUCUGCUAGUCACAUACUCCCGCGAGGCCCCCGUUUGUGCCCCCGAUCCCCUCGCCUCUCUCGCCCCCCUUCCGCCCGUGUCCCGCCGCCCCCCCCCCCCGAUAGGCGCCCCGUGCUGAUCAGAUUAGCGCUGAGACCAUGAUGGCUACUGCAUGCGAGAUCAUGGAUGUCAGGAUGUGCCAAUGCGUUGAUCUUCUUAGGAAAUCGCUGCACAUACCCCUUGCACCAUCCUUCAGUCCUCCCUCCGCCAUCACCCCCCUGCCGACAUCCCCACCCAGCGCCCAGGCGUGCAGCACGCCGUCUCGCAGCACCAGCAUCAGCUGUGCCUCCUCACCUCCGGCGUGCUGUUGUCACUGCACACCAUGCUCGUGCCCCUCACAACCCCCGCUGCAUGGGCAUGCGCGCCUUUACGCCCCAUUGCUCUACUUAUUGCUGCCGCCUGCACCCUGCCUCCCCCUGUUUUGUGCACAUGUCGCCCGGCCUUGUUUUUGCACUCUGCUCGCAUUACUGAGACAUUCCUUGCAGCGGCUCACGGUGGACGCCGAUGUGCUCUGCAGGUGCGCGCCGUUCCGAAUCUUCUAGCCCUCCCGCACGGCAUUGUGUGUUGUCUGUGGCGUGUGGCCUGGCCGGGCGACCCGGAGCGCGAGGAGUGCGCAACAGCAUUUCAGCUCGCCACCAGCUCAGUUCGCCCCAGCCUCAGGUGCUCAGCCUCAUGUCGUGAUCAGCACUACACAUCCGCUCUGGUCACGGUAUUACUGGUAACGGGGGGCUGGGCAGUCUCCGGCGUGGGGGCGACGUAUUUCCAUGAUCGUCGGUGCCUGGGCUGGGUGCAAUUUUGUUUAUCCGGCCGCAACUACAUUAGGCACUUGCUUUGCCUUUUCAUGUCCCAUAUACCCUUGCACCGCCCCUCUGUUCCCCUCCAUUGGCUUGGGCUGGUAACUGCCCCCCCCCUCUUACACCGCGGGCGGGGCGCCUGAGGGGGGAGGGGCAAGCCGGAGUACUGCGUAGCGGUAGGGUUUGGCUCGCCAUACGCCCGCGGUUCCCGACAGCCCCGAAUCUCGCCAACGUUAACAACGCAUUCCGGGGUUUGGGGGGGAAACUUUGAACCCCCCCUGUUUUGAACCAAUCCCAAUUUUGUCUUAACCAGGUUUGGGCGGCUUGGGCCUCAUGCUCCACCAGGCCACCAGGCUCCCAUAGAAGCUCGAUUUUGCACGAUAUGUCCAUUCAGCAGGGCGGCACGCGGUAUGCCCCUCCACAUCUAUUGCCUACACUCGCUCGCUCUUCAAGCAACCCCACGCACUCUGCCCUCCUUGCUUCCUUCUCGCGCACAUACACUUGACAAUCAGUACGCUCUCUCCUCCAGCGCCACCGCCUGCUGCUGCUGCUCCGCCCGUAUGUCGGACAGGAUGCGAUUGAGCUCCUCGUUGAAGGCCCGCUCCGACGCCAGCUCGCGCUCGGCGGCGUCGCGGCUCAGGAGGAGGUCCCGGACCUGCGUUGCGUAGUGGCGGCAGCGGUGAUGGGUGCAGGGGCGGGGGAGAAGGGUGCGUGCGGGGGCAGGGGCGGGCGAGAGGAGGGCGCUACAAGGCAACACGCCCUAUAGACGAGUCAGAGGGCGCUUUGCAGCUGCAGGGAAGCCGGGAGCGGCCCGCCGGCCUCCCGCCGCCGCCUCACCUGGUCUUUCAGGUGGCUGACGGUGGCCUUGUGCUUGUCCGCCUGCCGCUGCGAGUCGGUCGCCUCAGCCCGCAGCUUCUCGGUCACGUCCAUCAGGCCUGCAAAUGAUGAGGAUGAGGUGUGUGUGUGUGUGUGUGUGUGUGUGUGUGUGUGUUAAAGAGCACAAGGAAAACGUUGCGCAAAGACAGUGUAUGCGAUGCAGCAAAGCGACGGUUUACGGAUGUUACCUGAAGUUACCUCGCAUACCUGCUGCGUUGAGCCGCCGGUCUUACCAACCGGAAAGCGCGCAACCCCCAGGUGUGUGUGUGUGUGUGUGUGUGUGUGUGUGUGUGUGUGUGUGUGUGUGUGUGUGUGUGUGUGUGUGUGUGUGUGUGUGUGUGUGUGUGUGUGUGUGUGUGUGUGCAUGGGGGAUGGUUGCCCCAAGCCAUGUCGCAGUCACAUGCGACGGCACUACGCACGGGGCAUCGGGACCUGCCCCACCCUGCAUGCCUCCAUCCCCAGUCACGGUCUGCCACCACUGCUCUCCCCAGACUCAAGCACCCAGCUGUCCUCAUGCGCGCCCCCAGAACUACCCUGUUUCCGCCCACCCACCCACCCAUCCACCCACCCGCCAGUCGCGUCUCGUACUCGUGCUGCACCGCCGCCACCCGGCGCUCCGCCUCGACCCGGAUGUCGCGGACCAGCGCCUCGCCCUGACCCGACACAGCAGCCAGCCGGGCGUCCCUGUGUGCGUGUGUUAAAGAGCACAAGGAAAACGUUGCGCAAAGACAGUGUAUGCGAUGCAGCAAAACGACGGUUUACGGAUGUUACCUGAAGUUACCUCGCAUACCUGCUGCGGUGAGCCGCCGGUCGUGCGUGUGUGUGUGUGUGUGUGUGUGUGUGUGUGUGUGUGUGUGUGUGUGUGUGUGUGUGUGUGUGUGUGUGUGUGUGUGUGUGUGCGUGUGCGUGCGUGCGCGUGUGUGUGUGCGUGUAAACCCAACUAAACCAAGACCCAGAACCAAGGGGGGGAUCGAGCGUCGACGGAACAAGGCGCCGCGCACUGGCACUGGAUGGCAGGAAGGCUACAGGUGCGGUGCACGGUUGGACGCAGGUGUGGGCCUACCUUGGAUUAGCACGCGGCACCAUCAAGCGCGCGCACCAACACCAGCACUUUGGAGCAACGGGACCGGCACCGGUGCUCAUCCCCUCGCAGCAACCCCGUGACUCAGCACGCGCCUGCAUCUGACCAGACAGCCGGAACACCACCCGACCCGACCCGACCCGACCCGACGCACCUGUCGCGCGUGACCUCCUCCAUGGUGGUCCGCACCUCGCCCCGCAACGCGUUUAGCUUGGCGCCCACCUCCGCCUUCUCCUUGCGUGCCUCCUCCAGCUGUAGCAGCGGGCAGAUCAAGUCAGCAAGAGAUAGAGGGGCAUCAUCAAGAUGGGAGAAGUUGAGAUUAUGCCACAACCAAACCCUUGCUAGGAAUCAUGCCUGCCUGCACACGCUGGUGGUGGUGAUGGCCCCAGUAUAAACAGGAGCAGAGCUACCGGUAGCUAGCGUGUCGAUGCACUUGACCAUGUCAUGCCUACCUUGCCACCCGCCCUGCCCCGGUGCUGUCAAGCCACCCACCUCGGCUUUGAGGUUCUCCGCCUCCGCCCACAGCGCGUCCCGCUCCCGCCGCAGCGUGGAUGCCGUCUCCGCCACCUGCAUGCAACAAGGCAGGACACUGCCUCUCCCAAAUCCCAUCCGCCUGUCGUAAGAAAUGAAUAUCCUUCUCCUCUAGACCCUGCAUGCCGGCCUCGCAAUGCUAUGCAUACAAUUUGGUUUGAUAGUACCGUAGAUGCCGCUAAACAAGACGCGCCUUGUCGUUGGAUGUCAGUCCGGCAUCGUACUGCCGCUGCAGCAAUAGGUACUGCUUCUCAGCCGCCGCCAGCUGUGACUCAUACCUGUGGGCAAGAGGCGAGGCGGCAGUUGCGGCGGAGCGGAGCCGUGGGGAGGGGAUGAUGAGCGGCCCGGAGAUGAAAGCGAUGGAUGCGAGGGUUAGGCGCGAAGCCAGGCGCAGCUGUGCAAAGGCAUGCGUUACUGGACGCCGAAACCACUGUCCUACCCACCCUACUGCUAAGAUACUGGGCGCCGAAGCCACCUCGCUUGCCUUGGUAAUGGCCGUCCCGCCCUGCUGCUCACAAACCUCCCUGCCACCAAACUGCCCACCCUGCCGCCGGCCCCCGGCACCGCGUCAUACCGAUGCUACUCACUGCUUCUGCACCGCUGCCAGGUCUGCCGCGUGCUGCCGCCGCAGCGUCUCCAGUUGCAGACUGAAGCCGCGAGACGCCUCCGCGCGCGCCUCCUCGCCGGCCUUCACCUGUGUUGCGUGCGCAGUGCCAGGGGGCGUUGGGACGACUCGCUCUAAUCGGUCUCCACCUGCCCAUUGCAAACAUGGGGUUACCAAAUUGCCAGCGAGAGCUGGGCUGCUGCUGCAUAAAAGGCUCCCUUCCCGUGCCCUGGCCUAAAGACACCUGCCACGACCCUGCCAGUUCCCCCCUCACCCUCCGACCUCCUCACUCGCCUGCACAUUGAGCGAGUCCGCCUGCUGCCGCGCCGCCGCCGCCGCCCGCUGCUCCUCCGCCAACGCCGACACCAGCCGGUCCCGCUCCGCCGUGAGCGACUCCAGCCGGGUCUGGGCGUCACGCAGCUGUAGGGCGGGUGGGUGGGUGGGUGCAGGGUGGGGGGUGGGUUGGUGCAGAGUGGGUGGGUGCAGGGUUGGGGAAACAGUAGGGGGCACGCACCGUAGUUAGGGCAGUGGGGACAAGGGAUAAGGACAUGGGGAACAUGUUGUUUUGCCGUUCCCAGUCAGAAACCAAAGACACGAGGAUGCAGGACAGGACAGGCGAUUGUGGGGGAGGAGCAAUGCAGGAGAGGGGCGCACUGCCGCAUGGAAUUAGGCAAGCUACCACCAAGUAUCUCCACCGCAGCAACCACGCAACCCCAUCUGCCCCCCGCUGCCGACCUGGUCCUUAACCGCCGCCGCCUCCGCCUGCGCCGCCUCCAACUGCCGCCGCAGCAGGCCGCAGUCGGAGCUGCUGGCCUCCAGCUGCGACUGCAGUGCCGCCAGCCGCGCCGCCGCAUCCCGCGCCUGGGACUCCAUGCUUGCCUGCAGCCACGCGCAUGCAUGUGUGCACGUGCGCCAGGCAGGGCGGGCGGAGGUUGACCGCGUAGUGAUGAUUGUGGUGGGUAGUGGUGGUGGUGGCGGCUGUAGCACAGUGCACCCAACCUGGCUUCGGGUUCCGGUUCUCUCGGUUAACUUGGGCUUGGAGGUGACUGUCGUGAUACGACCUCUACCCCAUUCUCCCUAUAUCAGGGGUUGGAAUGACUCGCAAGUAAUAGGCCCUGUUGGACCGGCGCUUUGGGCCAUUCUAUAGUUCACGACAGUGACAAACCCCAGCUUUAAGAGAUAUCGUGGGGAUGGUGGCAACCCCUCCCCCGCAUCGCAACCCGCCCCCCCCCCGCACCUCGGUUUGGUUUAGUUUGGGCUGGUAUCUACAACGCGCCCCCGCCCCCUGCCACCUGCAACCUGCCCCCCCCCCCCACCCCGGGAUUGGUUCACAGUUAACCCCCCCCCCCCACCCCGCACCUGCAGCUGGUUGCCGGCGGCCUGGAUGACCUCGUUGCUGGCUCGCGCCUCCGACAGAGCCACCGCGUGGCCGCGCACCUGCACAGCGGCCGCGACGAUGCCGCGUGGGGUAGCAGUGUUUGGACGUGAUCACGUGACGGGUCGGCGCGCGAUGACUACAAGAGUGCGGUGUAGCGGUAUGUGUAUUCCUUGCGUAGAAACAUCCGUACACACCGCAUACAAAGGCCAGUCGGCCUUGCAGAUGAUGUGCGAGACUGCGAGUCUGUGUUAAGCCGAAAUGCACAAAGUGAAAACACGCGCUGUCCCAAGCCUCACCUCCUCCUCGAGCCGCCGCACAUCCGCCUGGGUGGCGCUCAGAGUCGCUUCCAGCUCGGACGCGCGCUUGCCGUUGCGCCGCGCCUGCCGCUCACAUAGAAAACAAGAACCGCAGUAUCAACACAGUAUUCAUUGUACAAAUGUGGUAACAACGUCUAGGAAGCGCGCAGUUGCCCUCAUGGUGCCCUUGUGCGUUGCCUGAGCCCGCCCCCCCCCCCAACACACACAGUCGCGGGCGUGCCCCCCCACCAUGCCAACACAACACACGCCAACCACCGCCGCAUGUCGACACGUCCCCAACCUUCCACCCACACGUCUCGCUACACCAGUAAGGAACGUGGACUCCUUGCCACGCCUCCCCUGUCAUCACCGCCCUCGCCGCCGCUGCCGCCGCCGCACCUUGAGCGCUGCGGCGUCGCGCUCCUGCGCCAUCACUUCCAGUGUCGCGGCGUGCUGCUGCUUGAGCGCCUCCAGGGAGGAGGACACCUCCGCCAGCCGGGCCUCCAGCGCGGGCCGAACCUGAGGCACGGGGGUAGCCGUACAUGUCGGGUAAUUCAUUCCAUUUCCAAUUAAUCAAGGGAGGGAGGGGGGUUGGGGCGCGGUGUUCAAGAGGAGUAAGGGAAGGGAGGUUGUAAAUACCAGCCCAAACUAAACCAAAACCAACGAAAACGAGGGGAGUGCAGGCAGAGGCGUUAGUUGCAAGCGAUAAUACUUAUGGGAUGUGGGCCGAGGCGUCGUGGAGCAGCAGGGUGAGCGGCGCCGGCGAUGAAUGUCGCCGCCCGGGCUCGGUGGCGCGCACAACAGCACAAGACAGGCACGCGGACGCGACAAGCAAAACCCACGACUUACCUGGCGACCAGGAAAGCAGCCCCGACGCCAGGCAGGGAGCGUCGGGCCAUGUGGGAAAGGGGCAAAGCAAACAUCGGAAGGGCAGGGCACAGUGAAAGGGCCGAGGCGUGUCGGCAGUAGGAUAAAGAAGGGAUAAUCAAGACAAGACUACACACAAGCCCCGGCGGCGAAAGAGGCAGAGGGGGCGUGAGGCAGGGGUUAAGCAGGGAAGGGGGGGAAGAAUGGGGAGGAGUUGGGGGAAGGAGACAGCGGCGAAGGCACGGAAAGGCACGACAGUCCACGGCCUUGACUGAAGGAGCAAGAGCAUUCCCAAAGCUCUAGCAAAAGCCCCAGACCCCAGCCCCAGCCCCAGCCCCGGCCCCGGCCCCAGCCCCGGCCCGGCCCGGGUCGCGGCGCACCUCCUUGUAUCUGGCCACACGGUCGCUCUCCGUCGCCAGCGCCAGCUCCAACGCCUCCACCUGAGUGCCGCGGGACAAAACACAGCAGCAGCCUUACCACCGUGACACCCACGUCCUACACUGCCGCAACCACAGUAAGGAGUACUUCCGCAGCGGUAGCGAGCGCACUGGGGCGUCACUGGGGUGGGACGGCGCCAAGCCCGCCGCGCGUUGCCAUGCUCAAUAGAAGCGGUGACAACAGCCACCGCACCGCACGCACCUGCGCCGCCAGCUGUGCAUUGGCGCCGCGUGUGAUGCCCAGCUCGCUUAGCUCGGCUGCCACCUGGUCCCGUUGCCUUGACAGCGACAGCACCUGGUGUGUACGGUAGCGCACGCAGGGGCCAGGGGUUGUUUGCUACACUCCCAUCAGUGGGGAGGGGCGCAGCAUUAGCACUUGCGAGAUGCAGCCGCUUCCCUUGUCGCGCAAAGCAUGACUGCACAACGCGGGCACACGCUGAAACCCCGUCGCCUGACACCCUGCGACCAGUCCCACACCAACCCUCCACGCCAGCCCUCCACACCAACCCUCCACACAAGCCCCCCACACAAGGCCCCGCACAAGGGCCCCCCUCUCGCUGUGUGUAUUGGUGUGCCUCACACCUGCUUCUCCAGGUCGUCCCGCAUGGCCUGCACGCGGCCGCCCGAGGGGUCGCCAUCUAGCAGGCGGUCCUCAAGCCGCCGCCGCUCCGAGCGCAGGUCCUAUGUCGUGACACACACACACACACACACACACACACACACACACACACACACGUUUUGUAGGCAGGCAGCAGGUGCCGAGGCGUCGACACAUAAGGGCGGGCGAUGUGCUGUUGCAUUCACGGCCAGUCCUUGCCGCGACCGGCCAAGCGCAGUACGCCAGUACUGCAUCGUGCCCACUUCGUUACGCAUGUAAAGCGGCGCCUCUACCCUGCAUGCAGCAUGCAUUUGACCUUUCCCACCCAGCCACCUGGAUCCAGCCGCGCAGCCGUUCGUCCUCCCGCGCCGACGCCUCCCGCCCGGCGCGCUCCUCAGCCGCCAGCUGCCGCAUAUCGCGCGCCACGCCCCCACCGCCCCCGCCCCCACCGAUUCCCCCGCCCAGCACUCCGAGACCAAGCCCACCAGCGCCAUCACCAAACAGGUCGCCUGCAGGCAAGGGCCACGUGUGUCAAAGUGUCAGAAGAUGGUUGAGCCGAACUGAGGAAAACUAGCGCGGCCAAAUGUGUGCAGGCGGGCGAACGCACCACUCCAGGGAUUUGCGGCACACCUGCUGCUGCCGUUCCCGCGGCACCCAGGUGGUAGGCCCCCCGGCCUGGCAUCACGGCCGCUGGUGGCGUCACCGGCCGCCCAAAUGUGGCGCCCAGGCCACCCUGCGCGCAAGGUGCGAGUUGCUAAAUACGGAAUGGCACGGUACGGCACGGCAUUGUCGAGGUACAUCCCGGCAACCCAAGCCGUACGCACCGAUGCCCGCUACCACACAUACACCGCAUCCGCAGUGUUUUUUGUAUUCCGCUCGUGCAUGUCCCUUUCCUUGCCCUCCAUAACCCCGUGCGCACCUGCGCUCCAGGGCUGGGCGGCCCCAUGCCGCCACCUGCGUCCACGCCCAGCCCGCCCCGGUACCCGCCCUGUGCAGCCGCCGCGUGCUGCUGCUGCUGCUGUGUUCGCAGCAGUGUGGCCCUCGGCGACGACACGCCGUCUGCGGCCCUGUACGCCGAAUUUAGCUGCUCGCCCAGCACCGCCAGUUGGCCCUGCGUGGAGGGGCCCACAGCAAAACAAAGUCCUGCAAACGCGUAGCGCCUUUGCCUCAAGCCAAACCCAAGCCUAUGGAGGUGUACCCGAUACGGUGCCCCGCUGCCUCUGCGAUACUGCGCCCACCCCAGGCCCCUUUGAACUGUCAGUCGCACCUGCAGGGCUGCAACCUGCAUCGGCACGCCGUCAUCUCCCAAGCCCCGGUACCCGGAACGCGUGCCCGCCGCCCGUGCCGCGUUGCCCCCGCCUCCACCCCCGCCUCCGCCACUGCGGCCUCCGCUUGGCGCCGGCGGCCCGAAGUCCACGAGUGACGACGCCUCCGAGCUGACUGAGGAGGGCCGGCGUUGUGACCGGUGAGCCCCGGGUCCCGUUGGGGGGUAGGCCGCCGGCUGGUGCUGGGUACCGCGCUGCUGGUGUGACCCCCCUCCCGCAGCAGCAGCCCCAGAGCCGGGGGCACGCUCAAGCUCUCGCACGACCAGAGACUCCACGAGCCUGCAGGAUUUGAGACAUAUAUGCGAUCAGCACGCUCAAGGCAUGAAGUCUAAGAGGCAGGCAGGGGUGGGCAGCGCGCUCGAGGGCAGCGCGCAUACCUCUGGAGCUUCAGGAGCUGCGCGGCGGUCUGCGCGUCCGCCCCAGGCGGAGCCGGCCGGCCGCUCGCGCUGCUGCGGCCCUGGCCCCCGCCAAAGCUGAACGAGUCAUUGUGGCCCAAGUAGCCUCUAUCAUCCUCAGCGCCGCGCGAGGCGCGCUGCAUGAAUGUUGCCGACGGUCAACGCGUCGCACCGACAGACGCCGAAGGCCGACUACAAACGACGAUGGUGUAUACAGAUGCGUAUGUGAUAUCUGUAUGUGAUAAACACCAGGCCGGUGUGCUAGAAAUGAGGAUGAAGCUGAGUUUCGCGGAUCGCACCAAGCUCGCGAAUUGGGUAUCGCUGGCUUGCUCCUUUCCAUCCAAUCUUUAAUUACUUAGGUAGAUGCAAUCAAGAACUGUGUAUAACCUCGAACAAGAAUUAUAAUGUCUCAGUUUACGCGACAUGAAGUACACGGGCACUAGAGUAGCUUUUUAAGCUUCAUAACAUCUGCAACAUUCUUAGGUAUUUCCAUUAGUACAGAGGCACAACGCUAUCAACCGGCUUCGAAGCAGUUGUUUGGGCGUUUCCUGUUUAGCGUGCAACGGGACUCUCGAGCUGCAGAAACCAGUAUCAGCCUGCAUAUAAGGCAAAAGCUACUGAUACGUGCUCUGCGACACGAUUACUCCAGCGGAGCAUGGGGCAAGCUCGUUGGGGAGCCCCCAACGGGCGUGUCUUGAGCCCAGCGCAGUGCUGAGGGCUUGAUUGCAUCACAUCAAAGCACAGGGAACUCUGCGACACCCAGCAGCGGCCUUUUGAGGACCGGUCGCAGCCAUGGCUGGAAGUCUGACAACCUUCAGCACGGACCUGGGUGCCCUGCGCACGCACGAUGCGAUCCAGGGGCGCCAGACAAAGCUGGUGGAGGCUGCGAAGCGCCUCAUGCAGUCAGAGCAGGUUCGUACCUGUGCUGGAGGACAGAGGAGAAAUGCUGGGGAAGGAGCAGGAGGGUGGAGGCCGGGACACGGCGUCGGCGGGUUUGGCACGCCGCCUAUGGGGACCGCUGGCCAUGAGGGUUGUGUGUGAACAAUGCACAGCGUGCUUUUCUCCAUUGUGUACGAUGCUUCUCCAUUGUGUACGAUGCAUCAGUCUGCAUAGUCCUCCUGUCGUGCAGAUGGUCAACAUGCUCCAGGAGGCGGGUGUGGCGCUGCCAAGCAUCGAGGAGCUGGAGGGGUGAGCGGGGGGACAGAUGCCGCUGUGCCGGCGAGCCUGCCACGCGGACCCGUGUUUGCUUUCUUCCCUAGGCAGCCUACACAUCAGUAACUUUCACGUGCACACGCAUACCCUGCACCGAACAAUCUUCCGUGUCUUCCAACACCGCAUCCGCACCCAUUCACCCCCCUUGUCGUCCACCACGCCAACAUCGCCUGCACCCGCAGCCCGAGCCGGCACCAGACCCGCAUCCUGGGCGCCGCCGGGCCCGGCGCAGCCGGCAGCGGCGGCGGCGGCGGGCGAGGCGACUGGCGCUCCGCCCUGGGACGCAACGUCCACGUCCACCACCCCACGCCGGGGGAGGAGGGCGCCGCCGCAGCCGACGAGGCCGCCGCCGCCUCGCCGGGCGCAGACGGCGCCGUGCCUGCCCCUCCGGCCCUGCAAGGGCCCCCCAGCCCGAGCCGACUGAUGGGGAGCGCCCCGCAGUCGCCGACCAAGCGGCCGCCCACAGUGACUGGGCCGUCCGGUUCGCGGUUGGCGGGCCGGCUGGGGGCGGCUCUGGGCGGCGCUGGCGAGGGCGGGGCGGAGGAGAUGGAGAAGAACCCCAUCAUCAGGCGGUUGAAGAAGCUGAAGCACAAGGUGCUGUUCGGCAAGGUCGGCGAGAAGGCGUACGCCAGGUGAGGGCUUGCAGGGAGGUUGGGGAGAUGGGAUGGUUAGAAGGUACGGACGGGGCUGGGAAAGGGGCGGGACCCUUCACGUCAGGUUGUGCGCGGGGCUUAUGCGGACAUGGCGCGUGGUGCCCUGCACACGCUAUGCCAGCUCCUGCCCUGCCGCUGCUAACACCUCGCUUUCCGCAAUGCCCGUCUGCACGCCGCACCUGCUCGCCCGCCUUACUUCUCCGCGCUUAGUGGGCUGUGGUUUCGGGAUCUGGGUCUUGGUUUACUGCGCCGUGCCAUUGACUACACACACACACACAUACACACAUCUCGCUACACUUCUCUGUACCAUCCUUGCAACCCCACCCCACACGCGCACUUCCAAUUCACCACCAGGUACCGGCAGACGCUGCGCGCCAAGACCACGUGGCGCGACAUCCUGCGCCCCAACGUGGCCAAGGGGCGGGCGGGCGCGGUGGCGGGCGGCAACAGCGUGCCCGGCUUUAGCGAGCUGCUGGACAGCGCGUUCACGGAGGAGCAGAAGCAGGAGGUGCGGCACUACGCGGCGCAACUCAUCCAGGUGAGCGGGGGGGGGAGCUCGCGGGGGGGGGGCGCCAGCCGGGGUAUCCGCGCCGCUAUCCGCAGCCACUGUGAGCCAACGCGCCCUCGGUGGUAGGGGCGUACAGGAGACGGGUCUGGCCCGUCUCCUCACCUUCCCCCCCAUCUCACACCACUUGUCCGCGGCAGGGUGUCUCUAAUUUUUACCUGUAAUACUCAGUACGUGCUGCCGCCUUUUGCCGCGCCCCGCGCCCCGCGCCCCGCAGCAAGCCUGGCGCGAGUUCAAGAAGCAGCGGCAGGACGCGAUCAUGAAGCACGUGCGGGUGAGCGAGCGAGCGAGCAAAUGGACCCAUAUCAUAUCUGUAUGUGCCGUACACGGCGUCAGUGCUGCCAGGGUCGCAGGCAAGAGCGGCUCAUCAGCACCGUGCCGGGGCUGUGCCCGGGCGCUGCCAGGGUCUCAGGCGGGACGUCGGCAUGGCCGCCUGGCGCAGGCUGUUCCGCCCACUUGCAGCGCGCCUCCCGGGCUCCACCGCCUUUAACACGACAGGAUGCUGCUGCGAUGCUCCCCUUGACUCGACGCGUGUCCGCGCCGCGCCCCCACAUAAAUUCUAUUAAAUGUUAUUCGUGGCAGGAGUACGAGAUUGGGCACUACAGCAAUUGGAGCGACGACGACUCAGUCGCCACCGACGACCUGCCGGACUGGUGGGGGGACGGCAGCGACGACGACGAUGAUGACGAGGCGGGCGCGGACGGCAAGAAGAAGAAAAAGAAGGGCGGCAAGAAGUGAGGCCGCUUCCUUUGGGCCGGGGGAUUGGAGCCGCGGGCCGGGUCAGGGGAGAUGCUACAUUGUCACCCUCGCAUCCCAAGAGCCCGGGUCAUGGCCAGGCAACCCGUGCCGCCGCGAAGCAGCGGGCUCACAGAGGUCACGGGUUCACCGCUGCAAGUUGCCAUCCGCACCUCAGCUGGUCCCGUCACCGCUGCUCACGCCUUGCUUACCCGGUGUUGAAUUCUGUCGAAUUUCGUCAUGCGCCCGCUGCUGCAGGGGCAAACUGCCCAAGGGCGCCAAGGGCGAUGCCUCGUUCGUCAAGAAGCGUGCCGUGCUAUUGGCUGUAGCAGGCGCCAUGGAUGAAGAGACCAUGGGCGAGGCUGUAGCAGCUGGCAAGGCCAAGCGGGAAGCCAAGAAGAAAGCCAAGGCCAAGAAGAAGAAAAAGGAGGCGGGCGGCGGCGGCGGCGAGGAGGAGGAGGAAGACGAGGAGGGCGGGGCGGGCAGUGCGCGGAAGGGAAAGAAGGGCAAGGGGAAGGGAAAGCCGAAGGGCAAAAAGAAAAAGGGGGACCGAGAGGGGGGCGAGGUGGAGAGCGAGGAGGAGGAAGAGGAAGAGGAGCAAGAAGAAGACGAGGAAGACGAGGAGGAAGAGGAAGAGGAUGACGACGACGAUGAGGAAGAUGAAGAAGAAGAAGAAGAGGAGGAGGAAGAAGAGGAGGAGGAGGUGGCUUCUCCCAGCGGCCGCGGAGCCAAGUGGAAAAAGAAGUUUGCGGCCAAGGCAUCUGAGGCGGAGGAGGAGGAGGAAGGAGCCGAGGGUGGUGCCGGCGGCAAGAAGGGCGGCACAAAGAAGGGUGCCAAGAAGAAGGGCGGCAAGAAGGGCCGAACUGGCGGCGACAUCGACGGCGAUGGUGACGGUGCGGAGGGCGAGGGCGGUGAGGGCGAGCUCUCUCCAUCCGGCAGGUGCGUGGCAUGUUUCACGGGGGGGGCUGCGGUUGUGUUUGAAAGCACACGCAGAGAAACCACGAAAGGCUGCGGGAGCUUGUGGGGCUGCUGGCACAGUGGGAUAUGUGCGUGCCGAGCGGGCCGCUACUCCAUGACCCCGGCCACGGCUGCGUGUGUUGGCGUUGCUGUGUGCCUGGACACCCCGCCCCCGACUUACCCCAUUGCCCCCAACCCCCUGCCAUGGUCUGUUUCGUGCAGGCGGCGAGCGGCCCCCGGCACCGGCGACGGCGCUGACGACGGUGCUGAGCUAGGGGCCGACGGCGCCGCAGCCGACCCCGAAGCAGCGGCGGCGGCGGCCGGCGCCGCUGGCGCCGACGGCACUGCCGCAGGCGAGGCCGGAGGCGGCGCAGCUGCGGGUGGUAGGGGCAAGCUGAGCUCCAAGGACAGCGGAAAGAAGGGCACCGGAAAGAAGGCUGCCGGCAAGAAGGGCGGGAAGAAAGGCGGAAAGGGGCGUAGCCGCGCGCUGGGCGGCGGCGGCGGUGAUGGGGACGCGGACGGCGAGAGCGGCGGCGGCACGGGCCGGCGGCACGAGGUGCCGGACUGGAGCAAGGUGGGUGAGGCAGGAAGUGGCGGUUCAGGGCCGAGCUAUUUUAUGCCUGUAACCCAUGUCCUGGUAGACACCUUCCGUGGAGGCCACGUAGCCCGGCGAGUCCGCCUGGUCCGUCCCGUACUGCCAACGCAUUUUGGCGUGGCGUUGCUGCCUGCAACGCAAUGUGCAUGCCACAACUCUUCAAUCUGCCGCAUCCCAUAACCCUGCCGCAAUCCCAUUUCUGCCGAAACCCUCCGUAACGGAACCUCCUCUUCCUGCCGAAACCCUUCCACGCCCCUAUGUAGGUGGGCCACUCCGCGGGUCUGUUUGAAGUGACCACGGACCCGGAGAAGCGCGCGGCGCUGCUGGCGCGCAUGAUGAAGGAGGGAGGGCCCGAGUGGAAGCCCGCGGGUGAGAAGAGGAGGAGGCGGCGGCGGCGGCGGCGCGGGAGCUUGUUGCGGUGUACGAGCGGGGCAGGCGGAGGGACCCGUGUGUGCGCCCCGUGUGUGCCCCCGUGUAUGCCCCGUGUGCGCGCCUCGUGUGUGGCCCCAUUCCUGCAUUGCUGUAAACCGACAUCCUCCCUUCAAAGCACACACGCUCCCUCUUUCAACCCUCAAAUCCGCAGGCAUGGUUGCGGACUGGCACGCGGCCUCGCUGUCGCUGUACGACGGCGCCGACCCUGAGAAGCGGGCGGAGGCCAUGGCGCGAGUGGCGGAGAACCACCCCGUGUGGAAGGCGGCCGGAGGUGGGUGCGCGGGGGGUUGUAGAUACAAUCUUAGACUAGACCAAAAACAACGAAAACGAGGUCUGGUGCUGCUAGUGGUGGUGGUUUCCGGGGGGGCCGUGGGGGGUCUGGUGCUGCUAGUGGUGGUGGCGAUGGUGGUGAUUGUGACGGUGAUGGUGAUGGCGCUGCUGGGUGGCGCACAUGGAUGGUGAUGUGGAUCUGUAUUUGUGUCAAACGGGUGAUACGGAUUAUAAUAGAUCUGGAUCUGGAUCAUUCUAGAUCGUAUGACCGUGUGCUGGGACCUGUCGCUGCCCGGCGUGUUCGGCAACAUGCGGCAUGGGGGUGGUGGUCGCUGGAGUUCCCACCUGCAUUUUGUUUGUGCACCGGUCUCGAGCAAAUGGACGCGUGACGGCCUUUGAUUGCUAACACCAGCAUCUACCUCUGCACCUCCUUCCUACCGUACACUGACAAGUGCAACUCAACUGCCCUGAAACGCCGCCUGCGCUGCUGCAGCUGGCGGCUCGGGCCUGUCGCCCUACGACCGAGGGCUGUGGGACGGCCCGGUGGACGACAAACCGCGCGGCAAGCGUGACACCUCCGUAACCGGGCCCUCCUGGCGGCCGGCGGGUGAGGACAGGACGGGCAUUGCGUGGGCCGGUCACCGGCUGCCGAAGCUGUUGGUGGGAUUGGGUUUUGGGAGGCCCUGGAUUGCGGCGGCCUGCCCGUUAGUGGCUGCCCGUCAUAGGCUGCCUGACCCUUUCGGUGCCGUGCCGCCGCAUGAUGUAAGCACAAGCACACAAGCUCCAUGAACAUGUACUCUCCAACCAAUUCAUGAAAACCCAGGUCUUUUGCUGGGUUUGCCUUUCCGAACACGCGCGCAUACAUGUACAUAAACACGCCGCUGCCACAUCACUAUACCAUACAUCGGUACUGCAACACAGGUAUGGCCAAGGAGCAGUACGUGUCCUACUACAUGGGCGGCCUGGACAGCCCCAGCAGCAGCUCCACAGAUGAUGAGUCGGUGGAGACGCCGGAGCAGCGCGCCGCACGCCGGGCCGAGGCCAAGGCCGCGCGCGCAGCCGCGCGGGAGGCCAUCCUGGCGCAGCGCGCGGCGGCCAUCGCGGCGGCGGGCGGCGCGGGCUCCGCCACCGCAACCGAUGGUGGGUUCGGGUUGGGGGCACCGGAACUUCAAGCGGGAUGCAACUCGGCUGUGUGCGUGUUUGCCGCGAGGCGGUGCAGACGACGUCGGCCAGGGUGCCUGGGAUAGUGCUCUCGACGGUUGCCGGGCUGGCACCGACCAUGCACGCCGCCCACCAUCCCUCCCAUGCAAUCCCACCAACCAGCCCUCCCACAACCACCACCCCCCAUGCCGUCUCACCAACCCAUUCUGCCGCAGCCGCCCGCGCUGACGCCAUGGCGGCUCUGAAUGCCAAAUACAAUGCCCGCAAGCCGUGGCGCUUCACGGGCGCGGCCGCCGCCGCCGAGGACGCGCUGGCUAGCCCGGGCGGCAACGUGCCGCCGGCGCAGCGGUUCGCCAACAUCACCCGCGAUGACAAGUGAGAGGGCUAGGGGAGCUGGGGGCUGGGAGAGCUGGGGGCUCAGGGGCUGGGGGCCAGGGGUCGAGGGGUUGGGGGCCAGGGGCCGGGGGGCUGCGGGCUGUGGGCUAGGGGCUUGCGGCUAGAGGCUUGCGGGGGGGGGGCGGGGUCUGGGCUUAGGGGCUGGGGGCUCGGGGCCGGGGGCCGAGGGGCCGAGGGCCGAGGGGCUGGGGGACGAGGGGCUGGGUGGGCCUUAAGGACUUGGGGGCUGCUGCCUUGGGGCGGGGGGGGGGCGGGGGCUUGUGCCCACAUCAGGCGUGACGACAAGUGAGAUGGCUGGGGGUGCUGGGGGCCAGGGGGCUGGAGGGGCAGCCUUGGGGCACUGGCGGUGUUUCUGUCCAAGAUGACACAGAACCGCCUCUCGUUUCGGCCCCAUCCUCACCUCCUCCUCCUCCUCCCAGUGCUCCUGACUUCCUGGCCUGCCACCUCCUCCAUGCUUACAUGAUUUAAGUUUGCAAUCUCCCGCCCCCCAAACACACACACACACACACACACACAUGUCCCAUGCGUAAUGUGCUCUUUCAACACUCACACACACACACACACACACACACACACACACCAAUGGGCGGGCUUUCGUUUCGUUUUUUUAACACACACACACAGGCCCGGCGGCGCCAAGCCCUGGAAGUACACGGUCCGCCAGCCCGACUCCAUGCGGCUGGGCAGCAUGUGGGGCCCCUACCAGGACCCCCAUGUCAGCCCCUUUUUGAGGCCGCGCGGAGCCGCCACCAUGGGCGGCGCCAAGGCCGGCGGAGGCGCGACGAGCGGCGAUGAGCACACGCCCAGAGCGGGUGAGCGGGCUGCUGCACACACACACACACACACACACACACACACACACACACACACACACACACACACACACACACACACACAGAGUACUGUCGGAGCACAGGGGCCGCCAGCUUGAGCUCCAGGCAUCCCGCACAUGUGCGAGCUCGUGACAGCUUACCUACGUGAGCUUCGCUUUUCUUGUUUUGUGCAUGGACAUCUCUAACAAGUACCGCCCUGCUCCUGCGCGCGCUGAAAAAUCCCAAUGCGCGCAGUUUCGGACGGCGGCGGCGCGCACGGGCUGUCCUCCGCCCGCUCCCUUAGGCGGCAGGCAUCCUUCUCCCGCCGCGUGCGUCGUGCCACGGAGGGAGACGAGCCCAAGGAGGGGGAAGAGGGCGGCGCCGAGACGGAGGGCCCAGAGGGCGCGGGGGCGUCCGCCAGCGCCAGCCACUCCUCACCGCGGCGGGCGCGCAGCCAGCAGCACCUCGCGAUCAGGCGAGCCAUGUCGGCAAGGGUGGCGCGGGGGCAGCACCCGCACCCGGAGGCAGCGGCCAUGUCGCUGCCGCAGGUCCACAUCGGCUUGGAACGAUCGCGCGGCAACGUGGCGGUUGUGCCCAGCCUGUACGUCAUGGAUCCAGACGCAGUGGCGGACGCUGAGAUGUACGGCGGUGGCGGUGGCGGCGGCCUGGAUGGAGAGCUGUCUACGGCACGGCUAGGCGGCGGCGGCGGCGGUGACGGCGGGCUGACGCCGCGCGGGGGCCGGGGGCCGCAUGUUGUGGAGCUGGGAAAAGGCUUCAGUCUGAACGGCAGGUCGGCGCUGUCACGCAACAAGUCCGGAGCUGGCGGCGGCGGCGGCGCGGGCGCAGCGGAAGGGCAGUACGGUGACGAUGGUGGCGGCGGCGGCGACGGCGAUGAGCUAGGCGAGGAGGACGAGUUGUAUGAUGGAGAGGAGGGCCCGUCUGGGACGGGUGGGGUGUCCGGGCUGGCGCGUGGGCGCGUGUCGUUCACGGUUCGUGGCCCGCCCGAGCAGCCCGACGAAGGCGGCGACGGCGACGGCGACGGCGCGACGCCGCUGGAGCUUCUGACCGGCGCCAUGGCGCACGGCAUGACGUCGCUGCAUGCAACACUGCAGCAGGCGGCGGCGGCAGGCGGUGACGGCGGUGAUGGUGGCGGCGGCGGCGGCGCCGGCAUGGGGGAGGCGGCGCCGGGCGGCGAGGCCUCUGGCUACUACUCCGCCGCGCCGUCUGCGGAGCCCAGCGGCUUACUGGGCCCAAGCGCUUCCUACUACUCCAACGGGACCGGUGCUGACGGCGACGGCCCUAGGGGCAGCUACUCCGGUGGCUCCCCGCACCGCGGCCGCGGCGGCCGCGGCGGCGGUGGUGGCGGCGGCGGCGGCGGCUCGCCGCCGAAGCGCGUGUGGUCGGCGCGCGGCACGGGCGCGUUCACGGCCGCCGGCGUGCAGCCCUACCCCAUAGACCCCGAGCUGCUGCGCCACCUCCCGGCAAAGGUGCAGGCGCAGGCGGCGGCGCGCGCCUCGCGCGUGCGCUCCAUGCCCGGCUCCCCGCGCCGCGACAGCUACGGCGGCGGCGGCGGCGGCGGCACGAGCGGGCAGCUGCCGCAGUUUGGCGGCGGAACGUUUCUGACUGGAGAGUCGUCGGCGUUUUCGUUCUCAGGAACGAUGGCAGCUACGGCACUGCUGCCGGUGGCGGAGGCGUCGGGACUGCUGGCGGCGCAGCCGUCGACGUUGGCGUUGUACGGCAAGGAUGGCGGCGCCGCCGCCGCCGCCAGCCCGUACAUCAUCAGCGCUGAGCCGUCGGGCUCGCUGGCGGUGGCGUUGUACGGCGGUAUGAUGACGACGGGCGUAGGCUACGGCGCCGCCGUCACCGGCGCUACCUCGGGCUCGGCGCCGCAGCCGUUUCUGUUCAGUCAGGAAGACCUGCCGCCGCUGCCAGCCAUUCUGCAGGUGGAUAUGUGUGCGUGUGUGUGUGUGUGUGUGUGUGUGUGUGUGUGUGUGCGUGUGUGUGUGUGUGUGUAUGUGUGUGUGUCUGUAUGUGUGUGUGUGUAUGUGUGUGUAUGUGUUGUUGCAAGAAGAUUGCUGAAGUAUUGUGCGGCCAGCGCCCCGCCGCGAGUCUCUUUGUUCAACGUGGUCGAGCACGCACCAAACGCGCGCACGUGUCCUACCACCCUCGUGUGCCUGCCUCAUGCCCACCACAUUCCUCCCUCACCGCACCUCCACUCACCUCCCUGUCCACGCAACACGCGCUGCCCUCCAUCCCCCACAGGACCCCCGCGCCGCCGAAUUCCUGGCCUCCCGCGGCGCCCAGAUGCUGGCGGCGCGGCGGCAGGCUGCCAAGGGCGCGGCUCGGCCCGACCCGCGGGCCCUGUACGAGUUGAUGUUCCUGGGGCCGCGGGUGCAGCAGCAGCGGCAGCAGCAGUACCGCGCAGCCACCGUGGCGGCUGGCGGUAAAAAUGGAGGAGCGGGGGGAGGAGGAGGAGGGGCGGGGGGAGGGGGAGCGGAGGGAGGAGGAGCGGCAGCGCCGCGUGGCAAUGGGGCGCAGCAGGUGACGAGCCCCAGGCGCCGCCCCGUGCCGGCGCCGGCGCCGGCAGCGGCCGCCUCGCCAGCGGCGCCAGCAGCGCCGGUGGUUGCCGCGGUCACGCCAGCGGCGGUCGCCGCGGUGGCAGCCGCCCCUGCCGUGGCGGCGCCUGGCGGCGCACCGGUCCCCCUGUCGCAGGUCAAGCUGCCAUCCAGCCACCCGCUGGCACGGAUGUACAACAUGCACGGCGUGGAUCCGAAUCCGUACGGGCAGUACACGUGGUCGCGUGCCGGCAAGCCGUACGGACCCCUGGGGCCCACGGAGCCGCCGACGGCGUCUUCGUCAACAAAACAGCAGGGGCAGGGGCAGCAGCAAGCAGGUGCGGGAGGAGGAGGAGGAGGAGGCGGUGGCGGGACGCGGCAGCUGCCGCCGGUGCGUGCCGGGUCGGGCGGGGCGAUCCAGCAGCUACCCAGCGGGCAGCAGGCGGCGACGCCGCCGCCUCUGCUCCAGCAGUCCUCCCCGCCGCGCACCCAACGCCACCAGCAGCACCAGCACCACCAGCACCACACGCCCAGCACCUGGCCCGAGUCGCCGCCGCUCGGCCACACCUCCGCGCACCAGCACCAGCUUCACCACAACAACGCGCCCGCCUCGCCACAGUCUACUACGGCCAUGUCGGGCGUCGCCUCGCCCUCCCAGCUGCCGCCGCUGCCCCCAGGCAUGGCUCCCUCCGCAUCCGGAGCCAACCUGCUCCGUCGCUCGAUGCCGGCAGGCAUGCUGGGCGCUGAAGCUCAGCACGCACUUGCCGUCGCCGCCGGCGGCAGUAGCACCAGCGGCCUGCCACAGCCGCUACUGCCGGCGGCGCAGCCUCAGGGCUACUACUCCCCCUACGUGCAGUACACAGUGUCUGUGGACCCGGCGGCGCUGGCCGCAGGCGGGCAGCAGCAGGCGGCAGUAGCACCGGGCGGCCCGCCGCUGCUACUGCCGGGCGGCUGGCAGUUUCCGGUGGACCCGCUGCGUCACAGUGUGGACAUCGGGGCUCUGAAUGCGGCCAUCCGUGCCGGGGCAGGGGCAGGGGCAGGAGGAGCAGGGACAGGGGGAGUGGGCGGCGCAGCCGGGGGAGCAGCGGCCGCUGCCGGAGGCCUGAACGCUUCACUGCCUGCCAUCAGCAGGUCUGGCAGCCGGGGCGACGGCCGCGGCGGCCCCGGGCAGCCGCAGCCGGCGUCUGACCCAGCCCUGCCGCUGCCGCAGGUCGCGUGGGCCGGCAGCACUGGCACUUGGGCAGGUGCUGCAGGUGCUGCAGGUGCUGCAGGUGCUGCAGGGGCGGGGGCUGCAGGGGCAGGGGCUGCAGGGGCAGGGGCUUCGCAGCAGGGCCUGCCGGGCGCUGACGGCAGCGCUAGCGCCGGCGCUGGCAUGGACAGCGGUGCUGCCGGCACCACCUUGCCCCGACUGGGGCCUGCAGAGCUCGCAGCUGCUGCUACUGCUGCUGCGGGCGGCCGGGCAGCGGGAGGUGGCGGGGUGUCGCCGUACUUGGGGGGUGGCGGCGUGUCGCCGUAUCUGGGAGGUGGCGGUGCCGGUGACACGGUGGCACGGCGGCUGCCCGCGGUGCCCGGGCCUGUUGGGGCUGCGCCGCAGAAGCGCGGCGGGCCGCCGCUGGGGCCGAACGGUAGCCGAAUGGACGUGGCGCCGGGUGGUGACGUGCAGGCAGGUGGCGGGGGAAUGGCGGACGGGGGCGGGGGUGCGACGCAGCGACGGCGGCUGAAGGGGCACCUCAAAGUGGGGCGGGCGCCGCUUGGGGCGCCGCUGUCUUCGCGCACGCCCGAGCGGCCUCCAGGCUGACAUUGACACCGUGAUUUUGGCUAUGCAGUGACGAGUGCGUACGGUAAUGUCGGGUGGUUGUCGACUUGUGUUGACUCUGGUUCAGGGUGAGCGAAGGCUUGCAUCAUCAUGCGCACACCUACCGUAGGAACGCAGAAUGCAGGAUUGCAGGAUGUAAUGCAGCGUUUAUCCUCAGACCUCACUGUGCCUUGACCAAACGGCAGCUUUCCAUUAGAUCCUAGCUGAGCUGGGUCUAAGGGUCACAUAUGGCCUCACACAUGCUCACCAAAGGUUGACUCAGGAAUUGUUACUGAAGAGCGCAGUUUGCGCAAGCGGGUGCCACUGAAGGAAAAGGCGUGCUUUCCAGGGAGGCCCAUUGAGCUUUGAGGCCUCUUAUCGUUCACGCGAUCCUGCCACCGCGACAUCCAACCAUGCGCAAGCCUUUCCAAACAUGCUACUUUGGCAGACGCGACCUCCGUACGUGUGCCUGCCUUCAGGCCUUUAACAAGAUUACCAACUGCUGGCAACUCCCGAUUGUAUCAAUGUACCGUAUACACAUCACAGGCGCCCAUCCUGUCGUGUUCCCAGUCUCCAUCCAUACUCAACAUCAUAACACAGCAUCUGCUCAGGCCUUUCAGGGUAUUCCAGCGCGGCGCAACAGUCGCAUUUAUGGAAGCCUUUUUGCGCCCCCGCAUCUUGCUACCCAUAGUACGAUGCGCCAUCUCUCUGCGUGUGGAGCAAACAGGGAACGAGGUUUAGGUAGGGCUGGAGCUGCGGCAACACAUCUGAGGACUAAAUCAACAAGGGCCGAACAUAAGAAGGCCAGAAACGGCCAGAACCUAAGGUGCAUUGAAUGAAAGGAUGCGCGCGCGUGUGCCCCUGCCCCUGCCCCUGUAAUCCUGCCCCUGCCCCUGUAAUCCUGCCCCUGCCCCUGCCCCUGCCCCUGCCCCUGCCCCUGCCCCUGCCCCUGCCCCUGCCCCUGCCCCUGCCCCUGCCCUGCCCAUGCCCCUGCCCAAGCCCUGCCCGUGCCCUGCCCAUGCCCUGCCCAUGCCCUGCCCAUGCCCUGCCCAUGCCGUGCCCCUGCCCUGCCCUGCCCCUGCCCCUGCCCUGCCCCUGCCCCUGCCCUGCACGGCCCCAAAGCCGCGCCGGCCGCGGCGCUGCCCCGGCCCCCAGAAGCCCACUGGCUCACCGGGCAGCAUGACGGGCCGCUGUGCAGCGCAUACGCCAGCUCUUGAGGGCUGAGGUCACUCAUGCUACCCUCACUCAGCGUAAAGCACAGCUGCGGGCUGUUCUGCUCGACAUACUCGGGCGCCCAGCCAAGGACAACACUCAGCACGGCGCCCUGCUGCCCGUCUCUCGCCUCAUGCACCCGCCACAGCUCUGCGCGCGCCAUAAAGCACCGGCAUUGCGGUCAAGCGAGUCCUGGGGAACCGGCUGCCUUAGGCUGCCUCGUACCUGCAUUGUUGCUGUCUGAUCUACCCAGCGCACACGUUAAUGGCAUGCAGUGCGGAGCGUGGACCAGCAUGGCAAAACACACCUGCUAUUGGUACUUACGUGGUCGCAUUUCCAGUAGCGUCCCGUUCAGCAUGAUCGACACUGCACGAAGACGCCCUCGCUUGUCGAGUUCAGUCACCAGGAAAUCCACUUUAUCAAGGGCAGACGUGCAACUUGGAUCCUGUAUAGGUGGCGCGGGCACGUAUGAUCAGCGAGAGGAAGUACACGCAGUGUCGUGCGGUGUUGCAGCGAGCGGAACUUACCGCUGUGGACGCAUCGCGCACUCUUAGGUUUAGACAGUAGCUGUUGCUGUCGGCAAGGAGCGUCAUCAGGGGGUCCGCAUAGAACUGCGUAUUGGCUUGAACACCGCAGCUGCAGGCAUGCAAGUAAGGGGAUUCGUUUGGCCAUGCACGGGAUUCGGUAUGGCAAUGGAGUACAGGGUCAUUCCACGCGAGCAGGAUGGUAGCGUUAGCCCCAUAUAUAGGCCUGGCAGCGGACAACGACAGCAUGCACUGUUCUGGUGGCUGGCACUCACCUGCAGAAAGGGAACGCCGACGCGAGCUCCGUUGGGGCGCAUGCAGAUGUCGCUCUGCCAACAAACAGCACGUUCCCCUUCUCGUCCUCCAAAUCCACAGUUGGCGUACCUUUAUCGGCCAGGGCCAGCGGGCAAGCAUCUGCAACGCCGUACACGCCCCCCGCAGUAUCCAAUCUCCCCGGUUGAUCCUGGACCCGACUCAGGUAUACUGCCAGUUGCCCCAUGUCGAGCUGAUCAGCCCCGCCCGUCUGGUUCAAACAAACCUCAAACGUCGAGUCAUCCUUGCAACUCAUCGACCCGACGAUUGCAUCUAUUGAAGCAUCGAUACCGGCGUCCGCUAGUAUCUCGUGAAGUGUGUCAAGCACCCCCUCCGCAAACCCCUGAGCCACACGGCAGCGCGUGCCACUCGUGUCGUCCCCGAAGAACGACCACCCAGCGCGCGAACCCCCAUCCAGCGCCCACCACAGCCGGUGGCCUCCGCGCUGCUUGCAGCUCUGCGCAGUGCCCCCCCCGCUGCCGCCCGCCUCUGGAGCAGUAAACACGGGGCAGCACUGCUCCGUGCUGUCCACCAGCGCCAGCGUCCAGGGCAGGGCCCCAGCACCCACGCCCGCGCCCAACCCCGCCGCCGUGGUCCCAGCAUCUCCACCGGACAUCAGGGCCCGCCAGUCACACGCUGGCGCUGUUGCCACGUCAUCAAGAGUGAUGCACAGGCUCGUGGGGCCGCUGAGCGGGCCGCUGAGCUCCCGAAAAUCCCGGACCACCACGGCUGCCGGGCUCUCGCGCAUCACCGCGCGCCCCUCGUAGGUCACGCGGCCGCCAGAGAGCAGCUGCGCAGUUGCGGCGAAGCCGCCAGCACAAGAUCCAUCUGCAACCCAUGCGGGGCGGAGUAGAAUGUUAAACUGCGCUCGGGUCACGGGUCGGCAGCACGCGUGUACUGCCGUUGUGCCGGCGCCCCGCGUGCGCUCUGAUUGCACCAGGCCACCACAACAGUGCGUGGGCGUCAAACCACCGCACUUACAGAAUGCCCCCCAGGCCCCACAGGCUCCUGAAUUUGUGCACUCACUCGCUUGCAGCACAAAGCUGGAGAUGUCAUGGUCGCAGCAGGAACCCGCGCACGUGGCAGCUGGCAGCGGUGUGUACGUUACGUCCCAGCACCGUGUGCGGCCCGCAGCACCGCCAGCAGCACCGCUCGGCGCUAAUGCAGCACUGAAGGGGCUGACAGAGCCCUGGCAGAAGGCCUCUCCCAGUGGAAAGCUUUGCGCUGCGCCCGGCUGGAGCCGACUCCUGCGGACAAAGCGCCAGGUGAUUGGCCAACGGACCCCGGCGUAGCGGCGGGUUAGCGGGCACGGUUUCUGACGCUACCAGGGCGCUUUAUGGGUUCCAAAGUGUGAGUACUGUGUGCUGAUUUGUUCACACCCACUUACAGUCCACACGCUGACAGCACCAGCAGCAAAGACCAGGUGAGCAUGUCACUCCCCGGCAUCCUCCGCAGCUCCCCCGUAACUCAUGAGACAAGUAAAGGUGUCAUGCUGCAAUUUAACUGUGGUUACGUAGCUCAAACUCCCCAGAACCAAUUUGUCUUGGCGACCAAGCAGCGUGUUAUAGCGGUCCCCAAUCAAGCUUCAAUUAUAUAUUUGGACUCGAUACAACACAAAUCACCGCCUGGCUCGGCCCUGAAAUCGCACAUUCAUGGACCGCCGUCCGAGCCCGCCAUUUUGCAAUGAGCCCCUUUUCGCUGUGCGACGAUGGCAUACUGUAAAUCUGUGUCAUCUGUAGUCUUUUAGUCACAAGGUUCAGCGGCCAUAACUGCGCGCACCGACAGCCCGCUUUUGGGGCUUGGCCACCAGCUUUUUCACUGUUUCUUCAUGCUUUGCAAGGCCACACACCUUUUUCAUUUGCAGGACACACUACUUUACCUAUCGGCAUCUUAGGAUAGUAAACAGUGUGCAUAGCAGGUCCAGAAUGUUUUCUUAGUUUGAGCAGCUCAGCGUCGUCGACAGUGGCGGGGCACCAGCGCUAUGGAGUUUGCUCUUGGCAUGCUGCUUGUCGCCUUGCUGCCGCUUCAUCACGCGAUGGCGGCGACCGGUAAGGCGUUUAGUGGUCCUAGCUAGGCAGGCUGGGGGCCGCUGGCGUGCCCCGGAGCCUGCAGCCCGGCCAGUUGCCACAAUUGCCAGCGCCACAGGCCAUCAACUAGGGACACCUCUGCAUCAAUUGUCUAGUAAUCCAAUGCACACUCACACAGGCACAUUUCCCCCAUCUCACUAAACCUGCCAUCCUCGCAGCGUUGGAAGUGAGCUGCCAGGUUGUAAUAGGCAGCCUGCAGCCAACAAUGCAGACAGCGCCAUUGGCACCUCCCCCAUCCCCCUUCCCUCCUCCUCCUCCGCCACCUCCCCCGCCUCCCCCUCCCUUGCCGUCGCCCCGAUCACCUCCCAGCUGGCCCCCCGAAUCCUUCCCGCCGCCUAUCGAGGUUCAACCUCAGCCUUCCCCAUCUCCGCCUCCCGCUGACGAUGGCUCAUCGGACUCUACUUCGCCUCCCGAAGCACCUGAGGUCACCCAGACUGCAAACGUGCAAACCGCUAGCAUCUUUUGCGACGGCCUCGACGGCUCGGCCGCAAACGUUACCGUGUAUGUCGGCGAGGCGCUUUACAACUACCUGUGGCUCCGCAAAUGGGCAUCGACACGGGGCGUGAACCUAGUCAAGGGCCGUGCCUUUGCCGGCACCGCCGCGAGCGGCUUGGCCGCCUCACAUGAGCAGUCGUCCAACCACAACAGCCCAUUCAUGGAGGACUGGGGCGUCACGUUUGUUAAUCUCGCACACCUCAACCUUGACGGUUCCAGCAUUACGGACCUGCCGCUCAGCCCCGUGGCGCCGCUGCUCCAGUGCCUCAACUGCAGCCGCGUGUCAGCCGCAGGUCUAACCCUGGCACGGCUCACAGGCAGCUCGGGGCGGCCCCCGUUUCCUGCAGCCAACGGCGGCGCAUGCCCCGCCGCCGCCACCUCGCCCGCCGACGCCGUGGCGGCGGCAGGCCUGGCGGGGCAGCGCUUGCCCGCGUACGGCGCAAUGUACGUCACAGGCGCGUCUGCCGUACACCUGGUAUCCUUCACGUGUACGGACGUUACAGAGGCGCAUGGCUUCGCCUGUGUCAGUUUUGAACUGGUUGCGCCCGCGGCAGCAGCGCCGGACGCGGUGGGAGGUGGUGUUGACGUGGGAGGAGGCGGCGGUGCAGGAAGCGGAGCGGGAGCGGGACCGGCCGGGGAGGAGGCAUCGACUGGCGCCGCCGCUGCAGCCGCCGUGUUUCGAUGUGACGGCUGCGUCGUACAGCGAAACCGUGUGUCAUGGGGCGAGCCGGAGCCAGCCGCCGCCACCGGGAUUGGGGCCAGUGGCGUGUCCGGGAGCUCGGCGGUGGGCCGCGGGGCGGUGGUGCUCCGCAGCCGCGCCGCCGCCGCCCUGCAGACGGGAGCGGAGGUGGAGGUGGCGGCGGUGCUGAACGACUGCAGCUGGGACGGCAACCACGGCGGCGCGGGCGCGGCUCUGUCCGCCGAUGCCGGCGUGCGGCUGGUGAGCACGUGUGGGGCCCUGUGUGUGUGGGGUGGGGCUUUGUUGGGAGGCGGCGAUGGAAGCCCGACUUUAGCAUCCUUAUGCUGCGCGAACACAGAGGAAUACGCGUGGACACGAUUUUGCCCCUCCCCAGACCGGCGUCAAACCUUACCCGUGUUGGCAGAAGACAACAUCCGCACGCACCACUUCACUGCCUGCAGGUGUCGCUGGCCAUCGCGCGCAGCCGCCUGGCCCACAACUUUGCAGAGCUGGGGCACGGCGGCGCGCUGCUGCUGGAGGGCGGGCUGGGCUCGCUCACCCUCACCGGCGGCAGCAUUUUCGCCAACAACUCAGCCAGCGGGUUCGGCGGCGCUGUGGCUGUCGGCGCGGCCUUCGUGCCGGGAUUCAGCCUGCCUGCGGCCUCCGGCACCGCCGCCUCCGGUGCCUUCGGCGCUGCUGAUGCGCUAGGGGAGCUGGUGGUGGAGGGCGGCAGUUUGGUGCAGGAGAACCGGGCGCUGCUGGGUGGAGGCGGCGUGUUCGUGAACGGCUCGCUGGGCGUGCUGGUGGUGUCCGGCGACGGCAGCGGCGUGAGCGGCAAUGUCGCGGACUGGGGAAGCGGCGGCGCGGUGUUGGUGGCAGGAAGAUUGGGUGCGCUGACGCUGUCUGGCGGCGGCGGCGGCGGCGGCCGCGGAGGUGCUGGUGGCGGAGGUUCCAAUGGCGGCGCCGGGGGCGACGCGGCAGUAGCGGCGACGGUGGCGGCAGGGUUUUGCACGCUGUGCGGCAACAGCGCGUACGACAGCGGCGGCGCGAUCUACGUGGCUGGCAGUACAGGCAGUAGCACCGGCAGUAGCAGCACUGGCAGUGGCAGUACAGGCAGUAGCAGCACCGGCAGUAGCACCGGCAGUAGCAGCACGGGUAACAGCGCCGGCGGCAGUAGCAGCGUGGCUGCCGGCGUGGUCAUUGAGGUGGGGUACGGGGCGCGCGUGGAGGACAACACAGCUGUGAACGGCGCGGGUGGUGCGCUGUGCCUGACCGGCGCCGUGGCACGCCUGCGAGUGGCGGGCCCCGGCACGCGCCUCCUCCGCAACGCCGCCGCCCUCACCGGCGGCGCAGUGAUGGUACGGCAGGGGGGCGUGUCUGGAUCCAUAACGUUGGCGGACGGAGCGGUGGUGGCCAACUGCAGCGCGCGCAAGGGCGGCGCUUUCAAGGUGAUUGGGCAGGACCAGGGAUCGGGGGUAGUUCAUCUGCAAAAUCCAAAGCAUGCAAAACAAAUAAAUCCAAGCUUGGGGGGUGUCGGAGACGUGUCAGGGUGUUUGGGUUGGGUGCCAGCGUGUCACCAGGCGCACGUGGCCGUGUGCAUGUGCAUCUUCACGCACAAGGGUCAGGGAACGGUACGGCGAGGCCAUCGCUUGAGAAUGUGAUGCCACAUGACUCUACCCCCUGCAACCACAACUCCAAACCGUCACGCACACACAUACACGCACACACUCCCACACACACACACACACACACACACACACACACACACACACACACACACACACACACAGGUUGACGGCGAUGUGGGCUCACUGCUCAUCACUGGCGGCGCCCGCCUAGACGCAAACAACGCCACCCGUGGGCCCGGCGGCGGCGCACAGGUCGAGGGCCGCCUGACACUGCUGCUCCUCAGCGGCGGCGGCAGCUCCGCCUCCGGCAAUGCCGCCUUUCUCCGCGGCGGCGCGUUCUACGUCGGCGGCGGGCUUGGAUCGGCGGUUGUGGAGGCGGGCGCGGCGGCGGAGGACAACGCGGCUCAAUUUGCCGGCGGCGCGCUAGGCGUGGAUGUGGGCCUAGGAAGCUUGACGGUGCGCGGCGCCGGCAGCAGCAUCAGCCGGAACACGGCGACGUUGGACGCGGGCGGCGGCGUCUGGGUGCGUGGCGACCUCGGGGAGCUUAAGGUGUCGGCGGCGGCGCGGUUGGCGGAGAACUUCGCGCUGAACGCCGGCGGCGGCGUGUACGUCAGCGGCGGGCUGGCCGGCGGCGGCGUGUGGGUGCUGGACGGCGGCGCCAUUGACGCCAACCGCGUGUCGCGCAGCCGCGGCGGCGGGCUAGCGGUGCGUGGCAACAUGUCCAGCUUGACGCUGGCGCGUGGCGGCAGCAUCUCUGGCAACACCGCAGGCGACGUCGCGCCGCCGCUGAGUGCCGGCGCGCGGAGCCACAUGCCUAUGGCGGCGGGCGUGUGGGUGGGCGGCGCGGUGGGCGCGAUCCGGAUCUGGGACGGCAGUCGCAUUAGUAAUAACAUCGCUCGGAAAGGCGGCGCGGCGAUCUAUGUGGGAAACCCGGACGACGCGGCGGGAUCUGGGGGAUCGGGGCACGUGGGAUCGCUGGAGCUGACUAAUGGAUCCUGCAUCUGCGACAACCUGUCUGGCGUUAUCCCGGAUGACGGGUCACGCCACGCCGUGGUUUUCAUCGCCGGCCGCGCCGGAUCCAUCCGGAUCCAAAACUCCUCCGUCUCCCGUAACCGGGUGCCGUACGGCGACUCGGUUUCGUUGCCGUACGGCACCACGCACGGCGGCGCGCUGCUGGCGUGGCAGGGCGUGGGGAGCUUCGUGGCAACUGCCGGCAGCGACCUGUCUGACAACGCUGGCGGUGACGGUGCCGUUCUGUGCGUGCCUGACCAGCCCGCCAGCCCCACCUCCACCACCGCCCUCACCUCAGCCGCCGCCUCUGCUUCGGAUGUAACCUCUGGAAGCAUUGUAAGCGCUGCCGCCGCCAACCAGACCGCGGCGGCGGCGGAAGCGGCGGCGGCGGCGGCGGCCAGGUUUUACGCAAUCGGCGAGUUCGUUCUCGAGGGCAGCCAAAUGGAGCGAAACGUGGCGCGCGGCGCCGGCGGCGCUUUGUGGAGCAUGGGCCGAGUGGGGCGCGUGCUGAUCUCUGGGGCCAGCAGCGUCAGCGGCAACCGUGCCGACGGCACACCUGGCGGCGGGGCGGUUUACCUAGGGCUCCACCUGUUGAGCAACGUGACGAUUGUGGACAGUGUGGUGGCUGCCAACGCGGCGACGCAAGGGUCGGGCGGGUUCCUGAUGCACCAGGUGUGUGUGUGGGGGGGGGGGCUGUGUGUGUGUGUGUGUGUGUUAAAAAACGAAACGAAAGCCCGCCCAACAGCUGUGUGUGUGUGUGUGUGUGUGUGUGUGUGUGUGUGUGUGUGUGAGGCUGUGUGUGUGUGGGGCUGUGUGUGUGGGUCUAGAUGUGUGGGUGUGGGUGUGGGGUUGGGGGUGUGGGUGGGUGUGGGGGUGUGGGGGGGAUGUGGGUGUGGGUGUGGAUGUGGGCGCCGGCGUGGGCGUUGGUGUGGGUGUGGGCGUGGAUGUGAGAGAAUCUGUGCGUGUGCGUGCGCGUGUGUGUAGGAGGCGUGUGUGUGUGGGGGGGUGGCGCAAGCACAUAAUGAACUGCUCGGCUGUGGGGACGCGCGUGGCCCUGUGUGUGUGAUGGUAGUGCCGGCGGUUGAUGUGCCGUGCAGUGCCAUCCCGCCGGCGGCUCCCCAUUCUUUUCCAGCCUAGCUACUUCCUCACCCACCUUGCAUUCACCCUUGGCUGGUCACACGCAGGUGAACGCCACAGGAGUUGAGGAGGUGGCGGCGCGCCUGCCGCCCCUCCUGGCGCCAGGCACCAUCAGCACCAACCACACCGGCUCCGCCUCCUCCGCCUCCUCCACCGCCUUUCCUGCAUCCGUGCUGACGCUGCUCCGCUCCAAUGUCACCGACAACGUGGCCGUCCGGGACGGCGGCGCGUUCAUGUUUGACAUGAACGUGUCCGUCCCGCUCCUGGGUGCAGCCACCAAGCCUGGUGCGACCGCAGCCGCGGCGGCGGCGGCGGCGGCUGCUGCGGCGGCGCUGGCGGCGCGGCCUGGGCCGCCGCUGCUGCAGCUUCGGGUGGAGGGCAGUGAGCUGAGUGGCAACUGGGCUCGCAUCGGCGCCGGCGGCGCGGUGGCAAUGCUGAACGCGCUGCCCUCGACUGUGGCGACCGCAGGCAAUAGCAGCAACACGAACAGCAGCGAUUACAGCGCGCAACAGCAGCAGCAGCAGCAGCAGCAGCAGCAGCAGCAGCGGCGGCGGCUGGCGGACGUGUGGCUGGGCUUCGAGCUUCUCAUAGUCGGCGGCAGCCAGCUGCGUCGCAACCGGGCCGGCGACGACUCGGUGCGGUUCGAGCAGUCGGUGGAGGACGUCAGCCCGCUGGCCGGUCAAGGAGGCGCCCUGUUCCUCUGGGCACAGCCCACCACCACCACCACCACCUUCGCCACCACGACCACCACCCUCCACGCAGCAGCAGCACCAGAGGACGGCGGCUCCAGGGGCAGUGGCAAUGCGUCGGCUGCCGACAGCGCCGCCUGCGGCGGCUCCGCCGCGCAGCUGGCGCAGCAGCAGAUGGCGGCGGGCAUGGGCUCGGUGGAGGGGGCGGUGGCGUGGCCGGCGGGCAGUCGCGCCUGCCGGCUGUAUGUGGAGGGCGCGACGCUAGCGGACAACCAGGCCACGGGGGGCUACGGCGGCGGCGCGGCGGUGGUGAACUGCGCUGUGGCGGUGCGCCGCAGCCGCUUUGCGGGCAAUGCCGCCACACUGCGGGGCGGCGGUCUGGCGUUUGCGGACUAUGGGCUUCCGGCUGAGGCGGUGGCAGCGGCGGCGGUGGGUGCUGCUGCGAAAGGGGAACCGGGGGAUUGUGGCGGCGGCGGCGGCGUGGUGGCGGACGCGAAUAGCAACGGCAGUGCUGUGGAUGCGGUGACAGCCCGGCACCUGUUGCAACAGCCACAGCCACAGCCACAGCCACAGCCACAGCCACAGCCACAGCCACAGCCACAGCCACAGCCACAGCCACAGCCACAGCCACAGCCACAGCCUGUGCACAGCUUGUGGUUGGACAUCAGCAGGUCUGACUUUGAGUCCAACUCCGCCGUGGGAGGUGGCGGUGGUUUGUUUGUCGAGGUCAACACCACGGCCGCCGCGCGCCUAGCCGACAGCAGCCUUACCGGGAACAGCGUGCCUCGCGAGGGCGGCGGCGCGCUCAUUGUCGUGGCUGCUACUGCCGCUUCUGCUGCUAGUGCUACUGCUACAACAAAUGCUGCUGAUCUUAAUACUACAGCCACCAACGGCUCCUUGCCGAGCAGCAACGGCAGUGGAAGUGGCAGUAGUGGCAGCAGCAGCAAUAGCACCAGCGUGGCCAAUGCUGCUACAGCCGCGGUGACGGUGCUGCGUGUGAGCUGUGUGGGGAACCAGGCGGGAGAGGCGGGGGGCUGUCUGGCGGUGCGGGCGGCGGCGCCCGGCGCGUCGGUGGCGGUGCAGGAGCUGUGGGCGACGGCCAAUGCGGCGGGCAGCGGCGCGGGCGUGAGCGUGUCGGGUGUGCGUGGGUCAGCCGUGACAGCCGACGGCUGCAUUUUUGAGUCCAACACUGCCCAGACGACGGGUGGCGGUUGGGCCACCGGUGCCAGCUUCCCCGCUGCCGGCGGCGCCAGCAAUGAUGCUACAGCCGGCGCCGACAUAGCAGCAGCAGCAGUAGCAGCAGUAGCACCAGCCGUGAUGUCGGUGCGGCUGAGUAACUGUAGCUUCCGCGGCAACAGAGCAUUGCUGGGUGGCGGCGCGGCGUUCGUGCCGGACCCGGCUGUAGCAUCUUUGGUGCAGAGCUGCAACUUCACGUUGAACUCAGCGUCUGGGUCAGGUGGCGGCGUGGCGGUUGAUGGCUCGGUGCGGCCUGGUGGAAGCGUUAUAGUGAGCGGCUGUGCCUUUGACUUCAAUGAGGCCUUGGUCAGCGGCGGCGCCGCGCACGUGCUGGCGGCGGCGGACGGCGGCAGUAGCAGCAGCGGCAGUGGCAGCAGCGGCAGUAGCUGCGGCGGGCUGCUUCAGCUGCUGGACGGCUGCAGUCUCAACUCCAACACCGCGGGUAGUACCGCGGGCGCGGUGAUGGUGGAGGUCGGCUUCGGCAGUAGCAGCAGCAGCAGCAGCAACAACAGCAGCGGCGGCGGCAGUAGCAGUGCCCUGGCCCUUCCCGCUGCUGGAAAUGCUAGCACCGAUGCCAGUACCACCACCACUGUCAACACCUGCCUGCUGCAGCCGGCACUGCGGCUGCAGGACGCGAGCGUCUCUGCCUGUUCCGCCCCACUCGGCGGCGCGGUGUUUGUCGCCGCCGGCGCCGUUGCGCUGCUCAACAACAGCCGCCUUAUUAAUAACAGCGCCACAAUCUCCGGCGGCGCAGUGGCGGGCGUAGGCUGCGGCGCGCUGCGCAUGACGGGCUGCGAAUUGGUUGGGGGCGACGCAAAGCUGUCGGGUGGCGGCGUGUUUGUGGAUUCGUGCGGGCUGGUAGUUGUGGACCGGAGCGUACUGCGCAACAACUCCGCGUCAGCCGGCGGCGCCGUCCACGUGUCCGGCCUGCGCUCCAACGCCAGCAGUAGCAGCAGUAGCAGUUCCAGCAGCAGCGCCGGCAGUAGCAGCAGCGCCGGCAGUAGCAGCAGCACCGGCAGUAGCAGCAGCACCGGCAGUAGCAGCAGCACCGGCAGUAGCAGCAGCACGCUGCCCGUGGUGCUACUGCACCGCGUUGACAUGUCGGGUAACCGGGCAUCAGGGGUGUUUGGCGACGCCUCUCUCCUAGAUGUCAACUAUCCCAGUUACGCCGGGUUUCUGCCGUACGGGUCGCACGGCGGUGCCGUACUCGUCAGUAACGUUAUCGGUGUGGCCAUCAGUGGCAGCGACGUUGCCUCUUCAAACACGGCCGAGGUGGGGUCCGCAAUUGCGUCCACCCAGCGCUGCGACGGCAGUAGCAGCAGUAGCAGCAGCAGUAGCGGCGUUGAAGCAGGCGGGCUGGUGGCGCUGGCGGCGCUUUCGGCGGCGGCGGCGGCGCAGCAGGCGGCGGCGGAGGGCGGGCUGGUGUCUGAGGCGGCGUGGCGGGCGGCACUGGGGGAGCUGCGGCGGGCGCUGGCUGCGCGGUGUGCGCUGCUCACCAUUGCCAACACCCACCUACCCAUGAGCGAUGACAAUGGAACCAAGGUGGGUUUGUGGGUAGGAAGACAUCCGGGCUCUUAUUAUGAUGCUGCGAUGCCCUCCCCACCCGGUCUUAUACGCCCUGCCAUGUAUGGCUGGGGAUGCUUGUGUGUGGUCGCCACAGGCUGAGGGCGGCGUGGCGUUGCCUCCACUGCCGGCGGUGUGGAUGGAGGACCUGCGUGCCACCUCCCUGGAGGCCCGGUGCAGCCUGACCAUGGACGGCAGUAGCAGCAGCAGUAGCAGCGGCAGUAGUAGCGGCAGUAGCAGCGAUGACGGGGGCAUCUCCAGCAUUGCAGACAUGGUGCAGCAGUCGCUGGCGGAGAUGCCCGCCCCCAAUACUGCGCUGGCAGUGGCAACAGUAGCAGCAGCCGGAGUGCCGCCACCAGCAGCCGCUGCCUUUGCGGCGGCGAACGGCAGCAGCGGUGUGGCUGUGAGCACCAUCAGCAUGCGCACGCGCAUCACGCUGGGGACGCUUCUGCAGAUGCUUCACAAUUGCGUCCGUGGCGGCGGCGCGAUCGCCAGCAGCAGCAGUAGCAGCAGCAGUAGUAACAACACCAGCGCAAACAACACUAACCGUAGCAGCGUUACACUGGAGGCCUCAGGCGUGAACUCAGUUGGCAGUGGCAGCAGCAGCAGUAGCAGCAGUACUGCCCAGGUGGCUAUAGCAGUGUCCGCCACGCACCUGCGUGUCGCCUACGUCACCGAUGCACUGCUCCUAGCCAACAUCAGCGGUCGCGUGCGGCCGGCGUUCCAGACCUCCGCCCAAGCCCCGAGCCAGCAGCAGGAACAGCAGCAGGCUUCGGCAGUAGCAGAUGCACUGGCUGCAGGCGCUGCCGCGGGCGAGCCGUCUGACGGCAGUAGCAGCAGCAGUAGCAGCACGGCCCUGGCGGCCGGCGCGCUGGCGGGGCUGCUGGUUGCGCCGGGCGGGCGAUUCGGGCUGCGGCUGCAGCUGCACGACGGUCUGGGCCAGCCUGUGGCAGUGGGUGAGUGGUGCGGCGCGGCGGCAGGGCACGUAGACGCGGCUGCAACUUGGGAGCUGAAUGUGACAUAUUGUGGCCGUGAAAAAUGUGGACGUGUGGAAACGGCUGUGCAUGUGUGUGCUUAAGGCUUAAAGGCUGUGUACGCUCCACGCGUGCUACCGUUGUGCUGACGUGGCCCCUCGCCCGACAUGCUGCAGACAUCCCCAAGUACGACAUACGGCUGGAUCUAAUCCGCAUGGACGACAACGCCUCAACCGUCGCCGGCUCAGCCGCCGGCGGUACGGCAACUGCCGUACUGCGCGGUGCCGACUUCCCCGUAACCACCUCGUACGGCGUGGCCACGUGGGACGACCUGGAGGCUUACGGCUGGCCGGGGCGGCACGUGCUGCGAGCCCGGGCCGAGGUCUCGCUCGACGCCGUCGGCCCUCGGGCCUACCCGGUGCGUGGCGUGGCGGGGCGGGGCAUAGUUUGGCAACCGUGCCGAGGCAAGGGGGAACUGGGGCGUGGCACGGUGGUUUGGCACGGUGGUUGGCACAGUAACUUGCAUGCAUGGCCCAGACUCGGGGCUUUGUGAGUUUGCUGGCGUGGGCGUGGCGUGGCGGGUUUGCACGCCGCGUAGCCUUGCUGGGGCCUUGCUCCCCGCCUGACGGCGCCGUACACCGGCAAAGUCACGCCCGCCUAGCCUUGCCAACUGGCUCUUGACUCCGUUCGCUUGCGCGCCCGCAGAUCUCGACGCUGCGCAUCCCGCUGGUCCUGGUGCCCUGCGAAUUGGGACAAGAGCUGCAGCAGGCCCCCGGCAGUGGCAGUAACGGCGGCGGCAGCGAUUCAGCCGUCGUGCUCACGUCAUGUAGGCAGUGCCGGCGCGACCAACUAGGACUGUGGAAUGACACGCGCCCCCCGCUGCCGUCAUCAUCACCGCCCCCCGCCGGUGCCAGCAGCACCAGCACCAGCAACAGCAGCGAUGCCGGCGCCGGAGCCGGCGCAGCUGCCGGCGUCAAUGCCACAGCCGCCAUUCUGGAGGCACUGGCGGGCGCCGCCGCCGUGACACGUGACCUGCUGGGGCUCAGCACGGAGGCAGGCGCGGACGACGCGUGCGAUGCAUGUUGUGUGCCGUGCCCCGACGGCGCCACGUGUGCUGGCGGCGCGCUUCUCAUUCCGCAGCCCGGCUACUGGCACAGGUGGGCGGCAUGUUGCCCAUACAUCUCUUGCUUUGAUACUAGUCGUGCUUAGGCGUGCUUGGCAUCUGUGGCCUCCGUCUGCACACCGGCUUGCAUGCUGCGUGUCCUUACGUACCGUACCAUUCCUCUCGCUCCGCGCGCGCCCGCGCGCCGUGCCUUCUGCCCCGCUCGUUUCUGCAGCGCUGCCAACUCCACAGCAGUGCACGCCUGCAUCAACCCCGCCGCUUGCGGCGACGGCUGGGACGAGUCGGAACCCUGGAGCAAGUCUGUGGAGGCCACCCUGGCGGCCGCGGACCCAGACACGUUGGUCUGGAGCCAGGCCCAGCCGGCCCUGGCACUCGCGUACGCGGCCGUUGACAUCAUCACGUCGGACCCGCGGUCGAGGCUGCUGGGCAGGUGCCAGCAGUGGUGGUGAGUUGCUUGGAGCAUGGCGCCGAGGCUAUGCCGUGCAUUGCACGUGCUGCCGGUUUUGUUACAUUUCAGCUCUACAGUGCUAAGAGGCUUUGCCGUGCGCUGUAUACGCGCUGCUGGAUGCGGGUCGAGGCGGCGGACUGUGCCACCUGAACCCUGGUAGCUUUUUGUCGCUUCCGUCGCUCGUGCUCUCUUAUGCUAACCGCCGCCUGCUUUUACGUCGUGCGCGCGCGCAGGUACCAUAACCUGCCGCCGCAGCAGUCGCGUGCCUGGGCCGCCGCCGGCUACUCCCCAGCCCUCACAGCCGCUGGAGCCGUGCUUUCACUGGAAGGCAGCAGCAGCAACAGCAGCAGCGGCAACGGUCCACCGCCGCCCUGGUGCCAGCUGUACGGGGGUGGGGCCGACCCCAGCAGCUAUCUGCAGCUGCAGUGCGUUGAGGGCUACACAGGUGAGCGAGCAAGCGACCGAGCGAGCGAGCAAGUGACAUAUCUGCUACUCUGCUGUAACUCGCUGCACGCCACAUCACGGACGCUGCUGUGGCGCUUCAGCGAGCUAGCUAGCGGAACACGCAUGUAAUGGAUGGGAGCGGAAAUUCUGUCACUUACGACCCUUUUGCUUCUGUCCCAUCACCAUCAGUCCACCACCGUAGACGCCCCUGCAAUCCGGGCCGAGCAACUUCCCUACCUCACUACUCAACCCAAUCUAACGCGUGAAUCUAAUCCCAGCCCAACGCUAUAUCUGCCCGGUCCCGAACAGGCAACCUGUGCGCCACCUGCCAGCCCGGCUACACACUUGGCCCCGACUUUGACUGCUCGCCCUGCCCCAGCAUGGCGCGGACCAUCACGCUGGGUGUGCUGGCGUUCUUUGGCACGGUAAGAGUGACACGGUGGGAGUGACAUGGUAAGAGUGACACGGUGGGAGUGACAUGGUAUGAGUGACACGGUAAGAGUGACACGGUGGGAGCGGCAUGGUAAGAGUGACACGGUGGGAGUGACAUGGUAAGAGUGACACAGUAAGAGUGACACGGUGGGAGUGACAUGCACCGCGACGGGCUACGUCUGCAAGAGGCUGGGCUAGGGAAGGGGGAAACGGGGAACGCGGAGCGUAAUGGAGCGGGAAGCGUGAACGGGGGCGGGAUGCACGGAUCACGGGGGCACGGGCCGCGGCAGUAGUUCAUGGUGUGUCGGGCGAAAGUCGCGUGGUGGUGAGCGGUGGGACAGCGUUUGUGUGCGUGCGUGGGAUGUUGGUACGUGCUGACCCCCACCCCUCCGCCGUCAUACCCCGACAUGUGCGGCUACAGGUGCUCUUGAUCGUGUACACCACCUUCACAAACAUGGCCCAGGACUUUGAGGAGAUUUCGAUGAAGCUGGAAGCCGAAAAGGUGAAACGCAAGGCCAAGAAAGCCAGGAAGAGAGCGGAAAAGGAGCAGCUCAAGAGCGUCGAGAAGGCCGCUGAACCGGCGGAGAAGCAUGAGGAGAAAUCCGCAAUGAUAGGGCACGACUACGACGAUGAUGAAGACGACUUCAGCGCGUCAGAUGUUCUGAAGGUGUGUAGCAGCAGUAGGGCUUGGUGGUCGGUGGAGAUGCGCGGUGUGGCGCAUGAGCGAGGGCAUGGGAAUGCAUACACGGCGACACGGUACGUGGCGUGGCGUGGGUUUGGGGUGCGUCGCGAUACAAGGGCAGCUUAAGUUGCACCGCAACGGGAGCUGCCCCUGCUAACCUACUGCCCCACACACGUGCUAAUCUUGGAACUUUCUAUCACAUGCGCCACCACACGCACGCCUGUACGCUUCAAAUGAUGACCACAACACACGCGCGCCUGUAUGCUUCAAUUGAUGACCACACAGGCCAUCAUCACGCACGCCCAGUUCUACAUCAUCGUCACAAAGCUGGGCAUUUCCUAUCCCCACGUCGUCACCAAGUACCAGGUGUGCAAUCCACUCGUCCCCCUGGGCAUCCACGCCGCUGCCGGGCACAUGCUCACGUUCCCAUCAUAUCCAUUCAACAGCCGACACCGACGCGAAGUCCUGGAAGAAGGAGCGCAUAAGCGUGCCCCUGUCGUGCCCCUGCCAUGACUCAUGCCUCUCACCAUGCCACUCACGCAGGCCGCCGUGUCUGCAUUCACUGGCGCCGAGAACUACGUCGCCUACAGCCCCACCUGCCUCACACCCGACUCGGGGCCGGAGGGCCAGGCCUCCACCGCCGUGGCUCUGGGCCUGCUGACGCCGUGUGUGGCCACGGCUGUGGCCGCCUUGCUGUGGGCGGCAAGGUGCGAGUGGGCGGGCCCGGCGGGCAGCGUGGUUGAUUGGUUGGUGGGUUGGGAGAAACGGGUGCAGGAGACAGGUUGCAGCCGGCAGUUAGGAGAAGCCGGAGGGAUGCGGGGUCGACACUCGACAGGAUAGGUAGACGGCUGCAAUACGGCGCACACAAUGCAAAGCAGCUAGCACCACUCAUCAUCCGGCAGCUGCUGGCGCGGCUGCCAUGACCGUACGUGUGUAGUCAACCCUCACGUGUACGGCAUGUGACGUGUGUGCUGUGCUGGCGCUGCUUGCAGGAGGCUUACCCUCAACCAGAGCCACCACCACUGUCCGCCACCAGUGCCGGGCAGCUGCGUCGGCGGGGCGGCCGGCAGCAGCUCUCCCGACAUCAGCCGCAGCGCCACCCGCGGCGCCUCAGCAGCAACAAACGCUUGCAACGGCGACAACGCAGCAGCCCCAGCAGCAGCGGGACCCGCAGCUCCCACCGGCGGGGAGGACCGUCGGGAGGCGCAGGCCGCGGCAUCUGCGGCGGAUACGGCAGCUGCGCUACUUCAACAGGAGGCUGUGACCAGCGGCGUAUCCGCAGCCCUGGAGCUUCAAGAAAUCCAUGCAUACGUGCCUUUGCCCGUGCCUAUCGACAGCGCCGCCGGAUUAGAGAUUCUCAGGGACUCUCACGCGCUGGCAAGCUUUCACACGUCUCGCUCAGCGACCCCGCGGACCCACACAGCCGCCAACACGCCGAGGGGCCCCCUGUCAGCCUUCGCCACGCCGAUACGCUCUCAGCCCCACCACCACAGCGCCCAUCCCGCCGCUGGCGAGGCAUCAUCCGUCGCUCGCAGCAGUGUCGGUCACGGCAACCUCAACGGCAGCUGGCGCGGCUCUGGGCUGACCGGGGGGCCUCAGAGCGCUGAGCGGGAUCCACGUGUGCCGCCGCCGCCGCCGCCGCCGCCUGCUGGUGCCGCCGCUGCCGCCGCCGCCGCCGCCGCCGCCGCCGCCGCUACCGGUGCCGCUGGCCCCGUUGCUGAGUCGCUGCAGGAGGAGGGUGCCGGGCGCGGGGCCGUGCCAGAGGAUGUUGCAACAACAGCAGCAGGCGUCGUGGGGAUUGCGCUGUGGAGCUCCAACAACCAUGCCGGCGGCGGCAGCAGCACCUGGCUGGACGUGCUGAUGGCGGCGCCGCAGCCGCAACCCCCACCCAUCGCUGCUGCCGCCUCUGCCAACGGCGCGCCUGCCUCUACCUCUGCCGCUGCUUCCUACGCCGCCGCCGUCGCAGGCGCCGCCACACCGCCGGCUCCUAUGCCAGUCGGCGACGACGACGGAUACGCCCUCCAGAGGGCUGAGAAGGCCACGGCGGCGCAGCCGCCCGGCGGCUCCGCCGCCGCUGGCGCCUCGGAGCGCGCAGGCGCCGCCGCCGCCGGCAUAAGGAAGGGCCGCGGGUGCUGGAAUUGGGAGGCGCACAAGGCAAAAGCGCAUGCAUGGGUGAUCCACACGAAGGACCAGCUUCGUCACCCGCUCCGAGGUGUGGCGUACGCGGACUCCAAGCUGCCCGUGCUGAAGCAGCUGUGUGUACUGCUAAUCGUGGCGUCCUUCAUCCUCUACCCCUCGCUAGCCCAGGUGUGUGUGCGUGUGUGCGAGGUCGUUUGGUCGCCGGUCUGCGGGCCUGUCGCUGGUACGCCGGUGGCGGCUUGUUGGGCGGGCAGGAGCGGGGGCGAGUGGCGGCAGGGGAUCCAGGUACUAUAUGGCGUGUGCGUUACACGCUGUGCUGUCCUCAGCAGCAUGACAGCUACUGCAUGGGCGCUGAUCCUGCUGCAGCCCGAAAGCACACGCACGACCACGCGUCCUGCAGCCGGCCAUCCAAGGACCUACAUGUCUGCCGCCAUAGCCCCCUGCCGCGCCGCCUCCUGCCGCACCCCCCCCCCCCCCCCACAUACCUCCCAGCCUCACUGCCCCAUUGCCUUGCUUGCUGUUCCGCCACCCGACUGCCCCACCGCCCGACCCAUAUGCCCUUGUUGCCGCCGCUGCCGCCACCGCCGCCGCCGCCGUCGCCGCCGCAGGUAUCGCUGUCCAUCUUCGCCUGCUACGAGCUCGACACUGGCGCCGGCACCUUCCCAGAAAACCAGCUGGUGAGCAGGCCUUCAGCCGGGGCGCGCGCAAAACGUACCGCAUCGCGUGUCGUGCUGCGAAGCCAUAAAAUCUUUGGUAAUCGCUAAUUUCACCUUCCUGUUGUCGUGCUCUCUUGCCCCCUCGUCUACCACUUCAUUAACUAGUCAUGAAUGUACCCCCCCCUACGACUUCACUUCGUAAACUUAAUGCAUGUAACCCCCCCGCAGACGCUUUCGUCAGACGGCUGGUGGCUGCGAAACAUGAACCAGCGCUGCUACACGGUGCGUGCUUGAGGGUGGGUGUCAUUUUCUUGCCAGGAUUUCCUCACGUGCAAGCCACCCGUGCGCCGCUUGUGCAUCUCCAAACGCGCCGCGGACAAGCACCAAUGAGUCCACGUACAGCUCCCUAUCACCGUUGCCAUAAGCGCGCCUUUCUCCGGUCCUUUCGCUGCGUAUCUUGCGCGCCUCCACGUUUCGGUUGCGCCUGACUCAGCCUGCUCUGCCGGGGCUGUUAUCCACCGUCGUCAUCCACAGGGCCUGCACCGCUCCCUGUACCUGCCCAUUGGCAUCGUGGCGGUGAUUGUGUUCUGUGCGGCGCCGCCUCUGAGCUACUUCCUCAUCACGUUCGUCAACAAGGACCGUCUGCAGAAGCCAGGCAUCCUGGUCCAGUUCGGCUUUCUGUACCAACAGUACAGGUGCGCCGUCGCGUGCAAGAAGGGUGGCCAAUAGAGUGCGGAUGAGAGGCGUGCUUAGAAAUGGCUUAUGGGAUGAUGUGUUUGGGUUGUCUGCCCAUGCAGCGCUCUCGCAACACCUAAGCGCGGCACUUGUAGUCGACGGUGCGCACACCUGACUAACCCAGAAUGGGCUAAGCUAGAACGUGUUUUGCAACGCCGCGCAUGUUCCGUUGUUCGCAGGCGGGGCUGGCACUGGUGGGGAAGUGUCCGCCAGCUGCAGACCCUGGCGCUGGUGGUAGUGGAGGUUUUCGGCAGCGCCGUGUCGGUGAGUGCCCACCGUGCAUACGUACUGCGCAGGAUGAGCCGCUCGUAGUGUUACAGACGCACAUGAGCACGUGGUUGUGUGGGCCCGUAGCUUGUAUGUGCCUUUUUUAUGGCCUUGCUGCGCGUGAAAGUUGGACACGGGAAGGGGCUGCCUUCACCUAUGUUGCUCAGCCUCGUGCCCUCGUGCCCUCAUCCCAAGCGGACUAAACCCUUCCCCUUUCCUCGCUACUCCCCCCCCCCAAUGCCGUCAUCUCACCAUGCAUGCCUGGAAGAAACUAUCCCCCAAACCUCAAUCCUUCCCCCUAAAACCCGCUUCCCCCGCGCCCGCCUCCCGCCAGACCCUGAGCCAGUCGCUGAUGCUGCUGGCGGUGCUCAUCCUUUUCUCCAUGGUCAAUAUGGCGUGUCCCGCCGAGAGAUCCAAAACACUGCGCAUGAUCGAGUUCCUAUCCACCGCCGUGCUGUGCCUCACCAUUACGCUGUCGCUGUACUUCAUCCAGAUCCCAGACGACCAACAGCUGUCCGACGCCGCGAUGGUGGGUCCGGGCUUUGGGUUUGCGAGGUUGGGAGGUUAGAAGCUUGGGGGUUUGGGAGUUGGGCACGCCUUUGGCCGAGCAUCUUUGGUAUCCUGCAUGCACACACUCACGCUUGGCACCAAGCACUGUUAGCCCGCCUCGAGCGUGUGCAUACCUGACAAACACACGCGUACCGUACGCACAACGUUGAUUCAACCGCGUCUAACCCCGUACGUCCCCAUGCUUUCGCUCGGCAGGCGGCGGUUGGCAUUGUAAUCGUGGUGAUCAAUGUGGCCCUCGUUGCGGGCUUUGUGAUGGUAAUGCUCAAGUCGGGGCCCGUCGUGCCCAAGCGGGUGCAAAAGGCGUGGAAGAGGUUCCGCAAGCAAGCCAAGCACAAGCUGAAGGUCUUUGGCUGCUGCUGCAAGGGCGGCGUGUGUGCAUUAUGGAAGGGUGGUAAGGUAGAUGGAAAUCAAGAAUCAGACCGCAAACCUGCCGUUGUUUAGGCGGGGGUUUCCACGCUCACAUACAGAGAGCAUCGCUUGUUGUACCGAAGUAUACUGUUGAUUCGUUCAUUUACAAUGCAUUGGGGAUUGGCAACUAAGCACGUGUGCUUUGGGUCGGGAGGGGGUGGGUGGGUGGGUUGGGAACGGGUCGUGGGGUAGCUUACGAACCCGUCAUGGCAGGUAGCAAGGCGGGUCCAGUGGAGGGUCAAACCAAAGGGCUGUCGCCAGCUGAGGUUGAGUUGCGGAAUCGACGCGACCGUCACGCGCACUGUGAUAGGUGCCGGUGCAGCGGGAGCUUUGUGCGCGUGGACAUGUGUUGGUGCAGACAAGGGUUAGGGUCGACACUGUGCCAUACAUCUGUGUGGGAGGCAUCACAUAGGACACAUAACCCGACAAUCCGAGAAGAGACAGUUCAGACCAUAUGGCGUAUGUGUGUAUGUGCGCGCUGCAUACAGUACUGUAGGCGGCUAAUGUGCGUGCGUGUGAUCACGCAUGUGUGCCAAAGCAAGCACAGGGGGGAACGUGUGCGUGAGCGUGUAUGGGAAGUGAGUAGGCGAGGCAAGGAGCUGGCACGGACAUGCGGUCCCACAGGCAAAUUAUUGAGGACUGCGUAAGGGCGCGCAUCUCACGCGUAUGCCUGCCUACUUUUGUACUGCCAUCAAUGAUGGCAUCGAGUGAAGCUGCUCGCACCUGAAUUGCUGGCUGUACGAGGCUGUACUCCAAGGGACUUAGCCCCAUUAGGACUGCCACGAGGCCGCAAGGCACGGAAGGGGCAAGCUUGACGGGAUUAGAUGUGGUUCAGCCCGAGAGCAUGGUAGCUCUUUCCCACGUCGCCCUGCCCUCUCAUCCAUGCCGCUGGGUGCGCGGUCAGUACCCCAGUUUAGUGAGUGGCUGUAGGCAUGUAGCCUUCGCAACCUGAAUCUCUUAACCAUUCUUUUGCAAUCUUCAUCCUGCUUCAUCAUCUGGACCGCCGGGGCAGAGCAUUCGGCUUUGGUUACAGCCUGUAUGUUCAGUCUUAGGUCCUCUCUCGAGAUCCAUCGCCCCACUGCUCCCUACUCUCCUGUAACACCACUGCGGAAAUCCAGCGGAAGGUCUUGUCAGUUAAUUCUGAGGCGGCACACCAGACCGCACCUCAAGAAGUGUUGGGCACUUGCCCCUCUCCGGAUACUCAUGUCGCACAACCAGCGCUUCCCAACCCUUUCACUAGCAGCUGCGCCCCGGCCGCCAGACGCACUUCGUGCGCCGCGCCGCCCGCCCCUCCACUGCGGGUGAGGGCGUGCGAGCGCGCAAAGCCGGCGCCGGUUCCAUACUUGCACACUCACGAUGUGGCUCUUCUAGGUGGGUGACCUCCACACACAGGCACGAGGGCUUGUAUUAGGCUGGGGCUCGCGUCACGGCCCCCUACGUCACCCGACUAACCGGUCGACAUAACGACAAACGGAACGACUGUACACAAGGGCCAACGCUGUACGAAGGGCAAGCCGCGGGGCUCCCAUACGUGGCAGGCCGCAGGAGGGCCGCACACACCUCCCGCCGUCAAGCAGCACGCGGCGGCUUACGCCCCAGCGAGCACAGGCGCCCCAUCACCGUGCGACUCGACAUACUCACGGCUCAGCAACACCCGCCCCCAACUGUGGGCACCGCAAUCACGCACCUCAGGCAGGCGGCGCCGUCCCUCACGGCCGCCACCCCAGGCCCCCCAAGAAACCCGCCUCCUCUGCGCCAGCGCCAGGCCAGUCAGUGCAGCAGCAGCCCGCGCGCACGCCGCCCGCCCAAGCGGGCCGGCGGCCGCUCGGCUGCAAGCAGCAGGGCGGACGGGAAGCCGCGCCACGACGCCACGCAAGCAGCGCUGCGGCGCGCUCCUCCCCCGCCACGCCUCUGUCCUCGCUUUCGCCCAAGCAGCCCGUUUAGCACUCCUCCUCGGAGUCGGUCACGACCUCGCCACGCUCCUUGCGCGCCUUGCGCAGCUUCUCCAGCGCCUUCUUCUCCUUGUUCGACAUCUUCUCCUUCUUGGGGCCCUUCACCUUGAUGGUGUUGCCGAAGGCGUCAAUCACCUCAUCCUGCUGCUUGAUCUCCACCUUCUCCUUAAUGGCGAUCAGGUUGUCACCCUCGCGCACCAUCUUGCCGCCGCCCACGAUCCACCGCUCAUUGCACAGCGCGGACACGAACUCGUUGUGGUGAGAGAUGACGACGAUGCCGCCGCCGAAGUCCUUGAUGGCGCCGGCCAGAGCGCCCAGCGAGUCGCGGUCCAGGUAGUUGGUGGGCUCGUCCAGCACGAUCAGGUGGGGGUUCUGCCAGGUGGCGGCAGCCAGCACGACCUUCACCUUCUGGCCGCCCGACAGGCCGCGGAUGUGGCUGUGCAGGGCGAACUCCGACUCCAGGCCCAGGUCCUCCAGGUGCUUCUGGAUCGAGGCGGUGGUGAGCGGGCGGGUGAACAGGCCCAGCGCGGCGGCCUCCUUGAUGUCCAGCUCGUUCACCAGCUUCUCGUAGCCCAGCUCCACCAGGGUGUCGCGGGGCAG